rnacentral:lncRNA from 1 species
AAUGGGUAUCUAUGGGCCAAAGAUGAGGGUUAUAACCUUGCUUUAUUGGGCCUAAGGCCAUAUAAUAGGGUCCAGCCAAUUUUUAGAUGUUUUCGUUGUGUUUUAGGAGGAUUCCUAGGCUGUUUCGGAGUCCCUCAAGGGCCUGUCCGAAAACCACCUAGUUCCCCUCCUAUUUAUACCCCAUGAGCCCCCCCAUGGAGCCUUGGGUUUUGAUUAGAUAAAGUUUAAGCCUUUGCUACUUUCGUGUAAUCGCGUGUGUCGGUUAGACCACCUGUUUUACCGUCAUCAAGACUCCAACUAUAUUGAGUAUUCAGAUUCGUGAACCUUCAUAUCUCCUAUUCGCAAUUUCAGAUUGCUUUUCAUCUUGUUCUUGCUUGUUCUUCGAUUGCUUGCAGGAACAAAGACCUUCGUGGUCAGGUUGAUCGUGCCCCCGCGGGAUCAAUAACCUUCUGGAGUUGGUGUAUCGAUCGCUAAGGCGCUGCCUCCUAGGUUGUAGUCGGAUCGUCAACGUCACCUCCUACCAAAUCGAUAAUUAGGUAUCUCAUCGAAAGAUCGGGACACCCUCGAGGCUAUCACCGUCAUAUUGCUAAUGAUCGGCGGGACGAUGAAGGGUAUUACCGCCGAACCCAACUGCCGUGUUGGGUGAUCAUCUGCACUGAAGGUGAUCAGCACGUGCGACCACCUCAGCAGCUGUUGCGGCUCCGCAACCGGCAACAGUGCGCAGACGUUGCGGGUGAGGCGUUUCACUGCGGUGUGGGAUGGGAGAGUGUAAGCUCCCCCAUGGAUGCAGGCGACGCCGCGAGGCUCCUGGAAGCCCGGCUCGUCGCCAUCAGUGCAGUCGGACUCGUGCUGCUCCUUAGUGCGUGCCCUGUCGCGUCCCCCUUGGGGUUCGUCCCUGCCGGCACCGUCGCCGGCAGGCCUCGGUCCCGUUCUAUGGUCAUUCGGCCCCACCACCGCAGUUGAAGCAGGCGUCGGCAGCGCGGCGCUCUUCAUGGCGCUGCUCCCGCCGCUGCUUGAUCCCUUGCAGAAAGUGGCAGUUCUGCACGUCGUGGGUGGAGUUGCUAUGGAUGGGGCAGCGGGGCGCGUCGCCUUGCUUGCCACCGGACCCGCCACCCGGCGAGGCCUUCUUCGUAGGCCUCGCGGCAGGAACCCCCGAGUCCGCAGCGAGAACUUGCUUCCUGCUGCGAUUGCGGGAGCCCUUCUUUGGCGAACCCUUGCCAGGGCUCGCGACAGCCUUAGCUGCUAGCUCGGGCGCUAGGUGCCCUUCCUCGACCAUAGCGCAUUUGUGCGCCAGGGCAUACAGGUCCUGCGUCGUCCGGAUCCGGUGCGUGCUCAGCUUCUCGCGCAUCUUGGGAUCGCGGACGUUGAUGGCGAAGGUGUUGAUGAUGGCAGCCGCCUCCGCCUCUGGGAUGGAAUAGGAGAGGUUGGAGAAGCGGUUGACGAAGGCCCGCAACGUCUCUCCUGGCUUCUGCAUGAUAGUGUGCAGCUCCGCCAUGGUUCCCGGGCGCUUAUAGCCGCCUUGGAACGUGCUCACGAACUGCUCGCGCAGGUCUGCUCAAGUGGCGAUGGACCCGGCGGGCAGGUUGAGCAGCUAGGUUCGCGUUGAUCCUUGCAGGACCAUUGGGAACCAGUUGGCCCUGACCUUGUCGUCAGCGCUGAUGGCGUGCAUACCCGUGUAUGUCAGGAGGAAAUCCUUGGGGUUGGCGGUCCCGUCGUACGUACCGAGCACGGGCGCUCGGAACUUACGGGGCCACGUCACCCGCCGCAACUCGCGCGUGAACGCGGUGCAACCGUCCUCGGGGCCCAGGGGAGAGUCUUCCUGCUCCGGUGGGCGCGGGCGCUCUACCUCGCGCCUGCGCCGGCGCUCCAAGCGCGGGCGCAAAUCCUCUUGCUGGCGGGCAUUGAAGAUGCCGCGCGCAUCGCCCCCCGGAUUGGUGGGCGACGAGUUCGAGGACCUCUCCGGGACCCCGUAUCCUUGGCCUCCCUGCGGAGGGGGAGGAUUCUCCCCCUGUCGCGAGGUGGGUGGCGCGUCCCCACGCUCUGGGUUCUGCCCGUGGCCGGAGCCUACCGGGGCGCCCUCGCCUUGCGGCUGCUGGGCGGCCAGUGCGAGGAGCUCAUCUAACUCCUCGCCCCACGUCUCGUGCGCCGGCGUGCCUUACUGUGGUUCAUACCGGACCAUGACGUGCGUGGCGAUGAUAGCUUCCGACGGGGUUCGUGCGGGGGGCAGCCGGUUUCCCGAGCGGCUGCUUCCCGCUCUGGCCCCGGACGCCUCCGGGUGCACAGGGUGCGAACCCCCGGGGGUCACCCGCAACGCGGUAUGCUCCUGGUGCCACUGCCGCGGAGCAUCCUCGGCCCGCGACUCAAACAGCUGCCCAGCGCGGGCGGCAUCAUGUGCGCUCGCGCGACUAGCCCUGCCCACCAAGUGCGCACUCAUCAAAGAACAGAUACACGCACGUUUUUACCCAGGUUCGGUCCACCCGGAGGUGUAAAACCCUACGUCCUGCUUGUCUGAGCUGAUAUUGGUUGUUGAUCUGCCUACUGGGCCCCACGCUUGAGGCGGGGGCAUGCGCCCGGGAACCCCCUGUCUCGGCAAGUCGCCCGCCGGGAAGCGCUCGGGCCCAACGCACCCGGGAACCUCCCUCGGGAAGGGGCUUCACGGGAGGCGCCCAGGCGGGAAUAUUCCACGAAGCCCCACUUGCUCUUCCGGGCUGGUAGCUUGCCGGACUGCUCGUAGCCGCUGCCCAGGAUGAAACCUUCCCGGGAACUCGGGGACGGGGCCCACGCGUCGCGCAGCGGUGGUACCCCGGGUGCCACUGGUGCGACUCGCACUGAAGCCUCGGCGCGGGUUGAGCCAUCACACGGAGUGGUACGGACGAGCGCGGCUGUCGUCGCAUGGGGCUCCGACAACAGGGAUGCGCAGGCACCCCCUUUUUAGGUUCGGCAGUGGGCUACGGGGAUCGCUCCGGCGAUCGCCGGUGGGGCCAAUGCGAAGCCUGGGGAGACACUAAGAACGCAUGCACACGCUUUUUACGCAGGUUCGGGCCACCUUGCGGUGUAAAACCCUACGUCCUGCUUGUCUAAACUUGUAUUACAGAGAAACGGAGGGUUUACAAAUUCUCGGGGAAGGGUUGCCGGGUGCUCUCUUUUCGGCUAAGUGCUCCUUGCUACUUUUUGUUAAGGCUAGUGCCAAACUGUGAGAUGGUAGAACCCUUUGACCGUUGGCGGGGGUCCUCCUUUUAUAGCCAAAGCGAUACCACAGGUGCCACGGUGCAUGGUUUACAAGUGGCGAGCAAGGAGCUCCGGCAUUUCCUCCUCGGUGCGCUGGCGUGCGUGCAUGAGCGCCAACCCCACGGCUAGGGGUCUAAGGCCUAAAAAAUAGGACUGGACAGCCACUGUUCGUCCGACUAGACGGAUAAUGCCCCUCCUGUCGGCUUAUUAAAUGCGCCGUGCGCCUCACUCCUGUCUUGGCGAGACUGCACACUGGGCGCUUACCGCGCGCCCACGUGGCGUUGCUGCUCUGCUCACUCGGCCCCGCCCUCACGGCAGGAACCUGCGCCCGGGAACACCUCCUCCCGGCAAGUGCCUUCCCGGGAGGUGCCCAGGCGGAAUUUUUCCCCGAAGCCCCGCUAGCCCUUCCGGGCUGGUAGCUUGCCGGGCAUCCUGCACGCUGCCGCCCAGGGUGAGAUCAUCCCGGGAACUCAGCGACACGACCCAUGCGUCGUGCAGCGGUGGUACCCAGGGUGCCACUGGUUCGACAGUUGCCCCCGGGCGUGGGCCGGCAACACCACUUCCCAGGAACCCUUCCCUGGUCGGUUGCCGGGCUACGCCCCAACCAACGCGUGGGUCCCGACUCGCCUCGGGCCCGCGUCUCUUCGCUGUCCCAAGUUCCCCGCCGUUACGGACGGAGUAGUGGGUGCGAAAUUUCCAUUGUAACCUCCCCCUUAAACAGGGAAGUUAAGGCCACUCUUCGCAUUAUCUCUUUGAUUAGCAAUUAUCCUAGCGUGCCCGUAGGGUGCGGACUCGACAGUUACCAAACGGCGGGGUGUUAUAAAGCUUUUACUACUGCACUGAGGGGAAAACACUUAGCCCCCCAGCCUUCGCUUCCAACUUCUUCGCAUCUUGCGCUCAAGAGCUUUGCUAGCUUCUGCCUCCGCUCCCCAUGGCGCCCCCCACCGCCAGGAAGGGAAAGGAGAGGAAGGCCGCAAUGAAACCGGCGGCCAGCAAAAGCGAGGCGGCCGCCAAGGCCGCCGCCGACAAAGAUCAGCAGAAUCGGGCGAUGAGGGCCACGCUCGCCUUCUACCGGCCCGACUUACAACGGCGAGGCGCUGGCCAAGAUCCGGCACGCCGUUGCCUCCGGCUUCAACGAGCACGGGGAGACCCUGAUCUUCCCAUGCGGGUGCCGACCACCAGGAACACGACUUCCGGGUGUUCGGGUGCUUCAUCCUCACCGGACUGGUGCCGCCGUUCUCCCUGUUCCUCCACGCGCUAAUGGAGUCGUACCAGCUACGGGUGGUGCAGCUCCACCCCUCGUCUCUCUAUCUCCUCGCCACCUUCCAGUUCCUCUAUGAAGCAUUCAUCGGGGUAAUGCCGUUGGUGGGACUGUUUCGGCAUUACUUCUACCCCCGAAUCGAUAAUGCGAAUGCGAUGUCGUCGGGGGUGGUGUUCCGCGCCCGCGACCGGAUGAAGUCCGAGUUCAUCGUUCGGUCAGAGAAGAAGGAGUGGUAAGGCGACUGGUGCUGGGUCCGGGUAAAGGACCCUGAGGAGUUCAUCCUCUCGCCCACCGAGUUGCCGCAACCCCACGGCGGCUGGCGGGACCGAUACCACCGCGACGCCGAUCUCCUCCCCAUCGUGGAGAAGAUCAAGGCCUUGCGGCUGGCGGGGCUCACCGACGUCGACGUGGUGCGAACCUUCAUCAGCCGGUGAGUCGCACCGCUCCAACUGCGCUCCCGCCCCGCGUGGAUGUACACGGGGCCCGGGGUCAGGACAAGCCUUCAUCGCGAGGGCAUGGACCGGGAAUCCCUCCAGGUGUGGGUGAACGGGAUCUCCGGCGAGGACCUUCCCACUACGGGGUUCCCGCCGGGGGUUAUCUCCCUCCACUCCGGCGUUCAGGAGUUGAACGACAUUGUCGCCUCCUUCCCGCCCUGCAACGAGUGGGGAUUGAUGGAUGACACCCCCACUCGGUCCCUGCGCUCUCCCCCGCCCGCACCCGGCGGGACGCAGGUGCUUGAAGAGAGCGGGAGCAAAUCGGAACUAAGCUGGCCCUCCCUUCGGUCUUCGGAGGACGAGGUGGGUCGGCCUGCCGCGUCCCAAGGAAUCGUUCGCAGAUCAAGGGCGCAUGCGGCGGCCGCGGCUCCCUCCACGGCGGCUGCGGCGAUGUCCACCCCUGUGGCGGGUCCCAAAUCCGUGGCGGCCGCCGCCCUGGGGGCGUCCGCCAGCACCUCAGCGGUGACCACCCCUGCGGGGGUUGCCGGAGUCACGGUGGUGACUACCCCGGCAGCGGCCGCCAGCGACCCGACGGUGGCUACCUCAAGAGCAGCUGCAGGGGCUGUGGCGGUCGCCACACCGGCGAGGACCCCUGACGUUGCGGCGGCCCCGCCGGUUCCCGCGGUGCCUCGGGUCGGGGCAACCCUAUGGGCACCCCCGGCCCCGCCCGCUCGAGGGGUCUUCCGGAGCUUCGCGCUCCCGCGCAACCCCCCGAAGGCUGAUUCGCCGGCAAGCGCCAGCAAGAGGGGGAGGGACAACUCCGCGCCUGCCGCGCCGAGCAAGAAAGCGCGCGCGGGGGCCAAUGGCGCCGCCAUCGCACCUGCCGGCGAUCCCGCCCCAACGAAGGUGGCGCCGGCAAGAGGUACAGCUCCUUCCUGCCUCCUUUCCUGCAAAUUCAAUUGUCAGUUAAUGACGUAACCAUACCUUCUCUUUCCGUAGGCGACACUCCGCCCGCAGCAAGCCUCUAGGAGACCCCUGCCGGGACGGAGGAGGAGGGGGAGGCUCCCCCCGCAAGACCAACGACCCUGCAAGGUAACCACCCUAGCCCCUUUGUCCACCUCCGGGCAACUUCUUUAGCUUUUCACUUCUCAUACUCCCCGCUGUUGCAGGCCUGCGCACCCGCACGGGAAACGGGUGCUACUGUGGUUGACCUCAACUCCGACGUCAAGGUUAUACGGACGGCGGAGGGGCCAGAAGCAGCCCCCACGCCAAGCCCUGUUGCGCCGGCCGCAGCGGCCGCGGCGACUACCGCCGCCCCCGGGACGGUGUCCGGCGACGCGCCCGCGGCCGGAGGUGCCGCCGGCACGGGUUCCUCUGCCGCCCCACAGGGGGCGGCCCCUCCCGGGGGCACGGCAACCUCACCAGCCUCGCAGUCCCCGGGCACAUGUGAUGGGGAGGUUGCCGGGAAGGAGCGACAGGAUGCUCCGCCGCAAGCGGACGACCCCCCGCCCAGCUAUACGGUAGCGGCGGGGGCUUUGUCGUCGUCGGCCGCUUCCUUCAACACCGACCUAGGCACCCUUACUGGGGUGGCUUGGAAUCCCAUCACCUGGGAUCCGAGCGUCUUCGACCGGGGGCACCGGUUCCUUGACGCCGUCAAGGACCAGCAACUGGCCUUCGUCACCUCCUUCAACGAGGUGAGGGAGCACCACGCGAUCGCCAAGAGCCAGCUUGGCGAGCUGCAGCAAGCCGUGGAGGAGCAGCAAGAGCUCUUCCGGCUGCGGGAGGAGACUCGCCUCCCCAAGGAGGAGGCACGCCUUGCCCAGGAAGCCUUGGAGGAUGCUGCCACGCCGGUCGUUCCAGAAGAGGAACUCUGCCGGCGACUGGAGGCUCAGCGCUCCGAGCUCGAGGGAGCCCUGGAUUCCCUGGCGGCGUCCCAGGCAGAAACCAAGAAAGAGCACGCUGAGGUGCUCGCUGCGGCCCAGGCCCGGAUCGACGAGAAGAGCGAUCUGAUCGCCAAUUAUCCCGGUGAGAUCCAAGGCCUGUGCGUCAAGCUGGAAGUGCAGACCAAGGCCACCGAAAGCGUGGUGGACGCGGCGGCCCGGCAUGAGGUCCAGCUCAAUGCCGCCAAGGACAAGGCGGCCCGGCCCGAGACCGAGUGGGCCACUAUCCGGGAGGAGCUCACCAAGGCCGGCGAAGACAAUGUGGCCAAGGCCAAGAAGGCCACACUCAACGCCCGGCUCCACCACGGCACGUUAAUCGGGGAACGGCAGCUGGAGAUCGAGAAGCUGCUCCAUAUCGCCCAGACGUUGCGCGAUCUGCUGCCCAGGUUCGAGCUGCAGGCCGCGGAGGUGGACGGCACGGACGUCUCAACGUUGAUCCCAUUUUUCUCCGACCUGGCGGGGAAGCUCGGGGCGCUCGACGUCUGGAUCGCCAAGUUUGGCGCCAACGAGGUUGCCAAUUGCGCCCGGGAGGUUGCCGGGACGAUCCUUCCGAGGAUACACCUCCGGGACCCGGAGUUUCCCUUCGAGACGCUGCUGGACGCCUGGUCGGACAACGAGGACGAGCCCACCCACACUCAGGCGGUGCGUGGGUUCAUCGACGAGGUGGUCGAGCGGAUGUAGCAGAAGCCGGACCCCGAGCCGUCCCCGGAGCCCCCGACGGAAGACGCCGGCACCUAGUUGCCGUAGCCUCCUGCCAGCCUUUGCUGCUUUCUUGUUUAUCUUCUUUUGUUUUCGUCCCUGCAAGCACGACGCUUGGCGCCGUUUGAACAAUUUCAUUUUCAUUAGUUCAUGUAAUCGUUCGCUACUUAGUUAAUCAAGCUCUUUAGUUUUGCUUAAUCCUCAUUCCUUGUUCCCGGGGCUGACUCGCGGGGUGGAUCCCUUCGCCCUUGUGUGUUGUGCUUUGUGUUGCCGGGGACUCGUGCACCUCACCCAUGACCAGACCAGGGACCCAGGAUGGACCCGCAGUGCCGACCUGGGGUCAAGCAGUAGCGGCGAGCCACUCCACUUGCGGGGUAACUGCUCCAAGCCAUGCCCUCCCGGGACGGACCCGGAAGCUGCACGGGGAGCGCACUCCCCCCGCAAGCGUUCUUCUAACACCCCGGCUACACGCAGGUUCCGGGGCCACACUUAGCAAGGCAGCAUCUAGUUACGUUCAGCUCUUAAAGAGUUUAUCGUUCAGCUUCAAGCACUUAGCUUUUCGUUCGGUCCCGUGCUCGGCAUGCUUACCGGUGAUGUACGCCUGGUACAUCUCCCUUGAGAGAGCCCGCUAGAGGGAUGCGGUAGAGACGCCGUGGCAGGAUCGCCGCCGCCGACGAUGCUCCCACCGCGCCUCCACAACAACCCUCACCUUUGUAAAAGCCCUUGCUUUAAGAGGAACCUGUUCCGAGGGGUGCAGCAGCGACGUCGUGACUUCCUCGCUACAACCGGCAAACGCGGGUGGCGAGGACAUCACGGCGUCCCCGCAGCAACCCUCACUGCUUGGGGAAAAUCUGCCAAAGGGACGUAGCAGGAACGUUGUGGUGGGCCGGAGCAAACGACGGAUGCCGGCACCGGCGCCAUCACAGCGUCCUCGCGGCAGCCCUCGCCUCUGGAGGCGCCCUCUGGAGGGGUGCGGCAAGGACACUACGGCAGUGCACCCGUCGGCGCUGAGCGCUGAUGGCAUGCACUACCAGAGUGUCUCCGCGGCAACCCUCGCUCCUUGCGGAGAUACCCUCUGGAGGGAUGCGGCAGGAGCACUUCGGCAGUGCACCCGUCAGCACCAAGCACUGAUGGAAUGCACCCCCACAGUGCUUCCGCGGCAGCCCUCGCCCUAGAGCCGCUCGCUAGAGGAGGUGUGGCAAGGACACAGCGGCAGUGCAUCCGCCCGUGCCGAGCGCUGGUGGGAUGCACCCCCACCGUGUCUCUGCGAUACCCCUCGGAGUGGGCUCAGUGGGGGAUGCGGCAAGGGCGCGGCGGCAGUGCACCCAUCGGCGCUGGGCACUUAUGGCAUGCACUUCCAUUGCGCCUCUGCGGCACCGCCCGCCUUCGCCGCCUCUUGCUUGGCUUCUGAUACGGGUGCGGGUGGCCCGAUCUUUCGAUGAGAUUGGUAACUCUCGAUUUGGGUAGGAGGUGACGUUGACGAUCCGACUACGGCCUAGUAGGCAGCGCCUUAGCAAUCGAUACACCAACUCCAGAGGGUUAUUGAUCACGCGGGGGCACGAUCAACCUGACCACGAAGGUCUUUGUUCCUGCAAGCAAUCGAAGAACAAGCAAGAACAAGAUAAAUAGCGGAUGCAAUCUAAAAUUGCGAAUAUACUAUAUCAAACCAAUGUCUCAACGAGACGAUAAGUUGGGGUUCCGAAAGCGGUAAAACAGGUGGUCUAACCGACACACGCGAUUACACGAAGUAGUAGCGAUGGCUAACUUUUAACUAAACAAAACCCAAGGCUCCAUAGGGGGGCUCAUGGGGUAUAAAUAGGAGGAGGGAGAGAUAUUUUCGUCCACCUUGAGUAAGGAGGCCGAAAUCCAACUCUAUCUCUAACUUUCCUAACAAACUACAACUCUUUAGGAAACAGAAAAACAGAUCCGUCAGCUUGUUUUGUCCGUCACGGUCAUCACGAGUCCAAUCUUUUGAUGGGGCCAGAUCCGUUGGAAAGGUCUUGUAAUUACCUUUCCAACAAGUACUUGUUUGCUUGAUUUGGACUCCGGAUGCGGCCUGGGUGAUUAAAACAAAUUCGGGUCUCCUGACAGCUCGGACCCGAAUCGGAUUCAACUUUAAUUCGUGAUAUCUUUCUCUAGCAAGCUCCGAAUCAUGUGCCGUUUGAUUUGUUGGAAAGUAGACUUGAUAGGCUUCACUUUGAAUCUCCCUUUGCAGGCUAUCACACUUCAUCUUCACUUUGGACUUGUAAAGUUCAAUAAGAUGCCUACAUAAUAAGAUUACACAAGAUAGUAGCUCCGCCUCUUUGCAAGUAACAUAUUGAAAACAUUUUGUAAUUGAAUUCACCUGAUUAUAAUUGUUAUUAGAUACACCAACAAUUAGGGUUCUAAUGGUCGUAUCCAUGGUUAGCAUGUCCAUAUCAGCUUCGCUCUGAGCCGUUCCAUGGCCGGGGCACCCCUUUUAUAGGUGCGGGGGAAGGGCUUGCCACCGCGCACGACGGGCCAGCGCAGCCCCCGUGGCACCCCGCCCCUUGAAGUGCGGUACGGUCUUCGCCACUCCACAUGCCAAGCUGCUGUGGCACAUGUUGCUACGCGCCACGGCCCGUGGACGGUCCACGAGCAUUUCAGUGUGCAAGAUCCCGCCUUUACCCUGCACAUUAGAUUCUUACCAAGCCCGAGAUGCUGCAAAUUUUCGAAAUUCACGAACACACAGAGCAGUAAGGAUAAUCUCUAAUCUCCUGCCUCCCAACCCCCGGGCACGGAAGGGUCGAUGCCAAACUUGGAUGUGAGCACUUUAUUUCCCAGAGACGCAGCGACUGCGUGGUGCGCGUUGCGGGAAGCCUGGCAACUGCACGUCCUGUGAUGCACGUUGCGGGGAGCCCGGCAACUGCAUGUCCCGUGAUUCACGUUGCGGGCAGCCCGGCAACUGCAUGUCCCGUGCCAGAGCGAUCCAGCAGCGGGUUUAUGUUUUCGAGGCUCCAGCAGCCCCCUGCUCACAACCAAGUAUGGAAAGACACUUCUGUGCACCUAGAGCAGGAGACAGAAGGAGGAACAUGCAAAUAAACGAGGCAAUCUUAAAAUUCAGGAAACAACACUUAUCUUUAUUCACAAUAACUAGUGGUUUACACGCGGGGGCUGCCCGGUUACACUAGUUCAAGAGGUAUGCAUCGGCGGCAUCACCUGAGGGUCGGGCUCCGCCGCUUCACGGGUAGAACUUACCGAAGUGCUCAAUAUUCCAGCUAUUUUGCACCGGCAAGACUUCUUUGAUUUCCAGCUGGACAACCCCCGGUCUGGUUACCUGCACUACACGGAAGGGCCCCUCCCAUUUCGGAGUCAACUUGUUCCCGGCCUUCGUUCCUUUUAUCCGGCGCAGGACAAGGUGUCCGUUCUCGAGCCCCCGGGGACGGACUCGCCUGUCGUGAUAACGACGGAGUCCCUGCUGGUAGCGCGCGGCUCACACAGCAGCCCGGCAUCGAAACUCCUCGAUGAAGUUCGGAUCGUCAACCCUUUGCUCGUGUUGGCUGGAGUUGCCGUACGCGCGUACUCGGGGAGAUCCGUGCUUGAGCUCGAGGGGCAGCACCGCUUCUACCCUGUAGACAAGGGCGAAAUGAGUUUCACCCGUUGUCCGGCUAGGUGUGGUCCUGAUUGAUCAUAGCACGGGCUAGAGUUCAUCGACUCAGUGUUUCCCGUGGCCUUUGAGCUUGUCAAAGGUUCUUGUCUUGAGCCCCCGCAGUACUUCCGCGUUGGCUCGCUCCGCCUGCCCGUUACUUCUUGGGUGAGCAACGGACGUGAAGUUUAUCUUGGUGCCCAUGCUCUCGCAGUUGGCCUAGAACACCGCGCUCGUGAAUUGCGUGCCGUUGUCGGUGAUGAUGCCGUUAGGCACACCAAACCGGCACACAAUGUUCUUGAAGAACUUGAUGGCCGCCUAGGCGGUCACCUUCUGCACUGGUUCCACUUCCACCCACUUGGAGAACUUGCCGAUGGCCACGAACAAGUACUCGCAGCCGCCGACUGCUCUUGGCAGCUUGCCGACGAUAUUCAGCCCUCAAACCGCGAAUGGCCACAAGGACGGUAUGACAUGCAGGGCCUGCGCCGGCUGGUUGCUCCUCUUCGAGUGGAACUGGCACGCCUCACACGUCUUCACCAGCUGCUCCGCAUCAGCCAAGGCCGUGGGCCAGUUAAAACCGUGCUGAAACGCCUUGCCGGCCAGCGCCCGGGAGGCCACAUGGUGGGAGCAUGUGCCUCGAUGUAUCUCUUCCAACAGUGCGCGCCCUUCAUCUUGUGGCAUGCAGAUGAGCUUGACUCCAUGUGCACGCCUGCGGUAGAGGUUCCCGUCCACCACGGCGUACAUUUUGGCUGGCCGGGCCACUCGCUCCGCGGCGACGUCGUCUUCCGGGAGGGCCUCUCCCUUCAGAUAGCAGGCGAUUUCCACCGCCCAGGGAGGGUCUCCCUGCCAACGCAUCCUGCUAAGUCAGCGGCAAGGACCCCUGCUGUUGCGGGGUUUCCUUCGGUUGCGGGAGGGGUUUCCUCGGCAGCCGGCUCAGGGGUGACUGAGGGCGCGGCUUGCCUAUGCCAGAACACCCCCGCCGGAGGCUUCUGGCGGCGUUCCGCCGCAAUCUUGGACAGCUCGUCAGCCGUGAAGUUGUCCUUCCGCUUGACGUGCUCGAAUCGCAAACCCUUGAACUUGCGGACUUCCUCCACGUACGGUGCCAUCUGCGGGCAGUCGUAAUCCUUGUUAACCUGGUUGAUCACGAGUUGGGAGUCCCCACGAACGACCAGGUGCUUGAUGUCCAGGGCGAUUGCCGCCCGCAACCCGGCGAGCAAACGCUCGUACUCUACCGUGUUGUUGGUGGAGUUCAGGAAAUCGAGUUGGACAGCGAACCUCAACUGAUCCCCCGUCGGUUGCAGUGGCCUUUGUCUAGCUUGCCUGGCAUGCUGGUCUCCGGCGCCUCCUCUUCUACGCUCGUCGACGUCCACUCGGCGACGAAGUCCGCCAGGGCCGCACUCUUGAUGCUCUUGGAGUUGGUGAAGUGCAGAUCGAACUCCGACAGCUCCAUCCUCCAUUCGGCCACCCUCCCGGUGGCUUCGCGGUUGGUGAGGGCUCGCUCAAGGAAGAACCCUGACACCACCGUGACGUGAUGCGCCUGAAAGUAGUGGCGCAGCUUGCGGGACGCGAGCAGAAUCCCAAGGAUACCUCGUAUGGGUGUCGCGGAGCACCGUGCUAACGAAGUACACCGGAUGCUGCACGAGCCACCUGCACGGUGCCGACACUGCUGGCUCGGGGGAGGUUCUGGGGUCCGCGGUGGUUGCCGGGGGCCGUUCAGCCCCCUGCCCCGCAGCCUCAGUCCCCGGCACGUCUUCCUCCCUCUCAGCAACCAGCACCGAGCUAACCACCUGGUCGGUCACUGCUAGGUAGAGUAGCAGUGGCUUGCCCGGCUUGGGGGCGACGACGGGCGGCGACCUCAGGUACUGCUUGAGUUUCCGGAACGCCGCCUCAGCCUCAAGGGUCCAGUCAACCAGACCCUUCUUCUUCAUUACCUUGAAGAAAGGCAGGGCGCGUUCGCCCAACCUUGAGAUGAAGCGGCCCAGUGCGGCGAACCAGCCGUUGAGGCGCUGGACAUCCUUCACCUUGCUAGGAGCCUCCAUUUUCUCGAUAGCUUCUAUCUUGCGUGGGUUGGCUUGUAUCCCCCUGUGCGAGACCAAGAUAUCCAGAAGCUGGCCCGAGUCUACACCGAAGGUGCACUUCUCAAGGCUCAACUUGAGUUUGAUACUGCGGAGGUUAUCAAACGUUUCCCGCAGGUCAUCAAUCAGCGAGUCCUUGCGCUUCGAUUUGAUGACGAUAUCGUCCAUGUAGGCCUCCAUGUUCUGGCCUAGCUGUGGUCCCGAACACUCGCGCAGCGUGCGUUGGAAUGUUGAGCCCGCGUUCUUCAACCAGAAAGGCAUGCACGUGUAACAGUAACAGCCAACCGGGGUGAUGAACGCUGUUUUCUCCUCGUCUUCGACUGCCAUCUUGAUUUGAUGCAAGUCGCAACCAGCGGUGGAAUCAACUAUUUGAUCGAUGCGGGGCACAGGGAAAGGAUCCUUGGGGCAUGCACGGUUAAGAUCAGUAAAAUCUACACACAUGCGAAGCUUAUUUCCCACCUUGGUUACCACUACAGGGUUAGCUAACCAAGUUGGGUACAGAACUUCCCUGAUAGCCCCGGCAGCCUUGAGCUUGUCCACUUCUUGCUUGAUGAAAUCCUUCCACUCCUGCGCUUGGCGGUGGAUCUUCUGCUUGACGGGGCAGGCUUCCGAGCGCACCGCGAGUCGACUCUUAAUCACCUCCCUAGGGAUUCCGGGAAGGUCCCACGGCUCCCACGCGAACACGUCGGCAUUCUCUCGGAGGAAAGUGCUGAGGACGCUUUCCUAUUCGGCAGUAAGGUUCGCACCGACAGUGACGGUGCACUCCUUGUUGUCGGCUUGGAGGGGCAGCUUCUUUACCUUGGCGGCCUCCUCCCGGAGCUUCUGGCCCUUGCCGGGGCACGCGCUCGAGUCUGCGCUUCCCCCGGCAAGCUCUUGCGGGGCAGCGCGGGCCCUCUUCAUUGCCGGGCCGUCACCCGGCGAGCCUUCGUCUCCGGCAACGUCUUCGUCACCGGCGUCGGCUGCGGCGGCGGCCCUGACAGCCUCGCCAAUGCACUAGGCCGCGUCCUUGAGAUCGCACCUGAUGGAGAGGACGCCGUACACAGAUGGCAUCUUCAUCACGCCGUAGGCGCAAUGCGUAGCCGCCAUGAACUUGAUCAGCGCCGGCCGACCAAGGAUCCCGUUGUAGGGCAACGGGGUGUGCGCCACGUCGAACACUAUGUGCUCGGUCCUGAACGCUUCCCCAGACCCGAAGGUCACCGGCAGCGUGAUGCGCCCCAAGGGGCGCUAAUAGCCUCGAGGGUGUCCCGAUCUUUUGAUGAGAUACCUAAUUAUCGAUUUGGUAGGAGGUGACGUUGACGAUCCGACUACAACCUAGGAGGCAGCGCCUUAGCGAUCGAUACACCAACUCCAGAAGGUUAUUGAUCCCGCGGGGGCAUGAUCAACCUGACCACGAAGGUCUUUGUUCCUGCAAGCAAUCGAAGAACAAGCAAGAUCAAGAUGAAAAGCAACCUGAAAUUGCGAAUAGGAGAUAUGAAGGUUCACGAAUCUGAAUACUCAAUAUAGUUGGAGUCUUGAUGACAGUAAAACAGGUGGUCUAACCGACACACGCGAUUAAACGAAAGUAGCAAAGGCUAAACUUUAUCUAAUCAAAACCCAAGGCUCCUUAGGGGGGGCUCAUGGGUUAUAUAAAGGAGGAGGGAGAGAUAUUUUCGUCCACCUUGAAUAAGGAGGUCGAAAUCCAACUGUAUCUCUAACUUUCCUAACAAACUACAACUCUUUAGGAAACAGAAAAACAGAUCCGUCCGCUUGUUUUGUCCUCCACGGUCAGCACGAGUCGAAUCUCUUGAUGGGGCCAGAUCUGUUGGAAAGUUCUUGUAAUUACCUUUCCAACAAGUACUUGUUUGCUUGAUUUGGACUCCAUAUGCGGCCUGGGUGAUUAAAACAAAUUCGGGUCUCCUGACAGUUCGGACCCGAAUCGGAUUCAACUUUAAUUCGUGAUAUCUUUCUCUAGUAAGGUCCGAAUCAUGUGCCGUUUGAUUUGUUAGAAAUGAGACUUGAUAGGCUUCACUUUGAAUCUCCCUUUGCAGGCUAUCACACUUCAUCUUCACUUUGGACUUGUAAAGUUCCAUAAGAUGCCUACAUAAUAAGAUUACAUAAGAUAGUAGCUCCGCCUCUUUGCAAAUAACAUAUUGAAAACAUUUUGUAAUUGAAUUCACCUGAUUAUAAUUGUUAUUAGAUACACAACAAUUAGGGUUCUAAUGGUCGUAUCCAUGGUGAUCAUGUCCAUAUCAGGCGCACGAUCCCGGGGUUUACUCCCCGGAACGGGUCCGUGGGCUUCAACUGCUCCACCGGCAACUGGAGUUUCUCCACCAACCUGGCGGACAGGAGGUUUAGCCCCACUCCGUUGUCCACCGGCACCUUGGUCACCGUCAUGUUGCUGAUGAUCGGCGAGACUACAAAGGGUAUGACCCCUGAACCCAGCUGUUGCGCCGGGUGAUCGUCGGCGCUGAAGGUGAUCGGCACAUGUGACCACCUCAGCACACGUCACGGGUGAGGGGCUUCACCGCGGCAUGGGAUGGGAGAGCAUAAGCUCCCCCAUGGAUGCAGGCGACGCCGCGAGGCUCCUGGAAGCCCGGCUCGUCGCCGCCAGUGCGGUCGGACUCGCGCUGCUCCUCAGCACGGGCCCUGUCUCGUCCCCGGGGAGGGCGCUCCCUGCCAGCGCAGGCUUGGCCGCGUCCUCCCUGGGCCUCCUCCCUGCCGGCGCCACCGCCGGCAGGCCUCGGCCCCACUCUGGGGUCAUUCGGGCAAUCUCGGGAGAGAUGCACGAUGUCGCCGCAGUUGAAGCAGGCGCCGGCUGCUCGGCGCUCCUCGUGGCGCUGCUCGCGCCGCUGCUUGAUACCCUGUAGAAUGCGGCAGUCCUGCGCGUCAUGGGUGGAGUUGGCGUGGAUGGGGCAGCAGGGCGCGUCACCCUGCUUGCCGCCCGUCCUGCCACCGGGCGAGGCCUUCUUCGCAGGCCUCGCAACCGCCCCCGAGUCCGCGGCGAGGACUUGCUUCCCGCUGCGCUUGCGGGAACUCUUCUUCUACGAGCCCUCUCCCGGGCUCGUGGCAGCCUUAGCAGAAAGUUCGGGCGCUAAGCACCCUUCCUCGGCCAUGGCACACUUGUCCGCCAAGGCGUACAGAUCCUGCAUUCGUCCGGAGCCGAUGCGUGCUCAGCUUCUCGUGCAUCUUGGGGUCACGGGACGUUGAUGGCGAAGGUGUUGACAAUGGCAGCAGCCUCCGCCUCCGGGAUGGACUAGGAGAGACUAGAGAAACGGUUGAUGAAGCUCCGCAACGUCUCUCCCGGCUUCUGCACUACAGUGUGCAGCUCCGCCAUGGUCCCCGGGCGCUUGUAGCCGCCCUAGAACGCGCUCACAAACUGCUCGUGCAGGUCCGCCCAAGUGGCGAUGGACCCAGCAGGCAGGUUGAGCAGCCAGGUUCUCGCUGAUCCUUUCAGAACCAUCGGGAACCAGUUGGCUCUGACCGCCCAAUGUGUAGGUCAGGAGGAAAUCCUUGGUAUUCACGGUCCCGUCAUACGUACCGAGCACGGGCGCUCGGAACUUGCGGGGCCAUGUCACCCGCCGCAGCUCGCGCGUAAAUGCGGUGCAGCCGUCCUCGGGGCCCAUAGGAGCAUCUUCCUGCUCCUGCGAGCGUUGGCGCUCUACCUCACGCUGAUGCCGGCGCUCCAGGCGCGGGCGCAGAUCCUCUUGCUAGCGGGCAUUCAAGAUGCCGCGCGCGUUACCUCGCGUGACGGUGGGUGACGAGUCCGAGGACCCCUCCGGGUCCCCUUCCCCCUGGCCUCCCUGCGGGGGAGGGUUUUCCCCUUGCUGUGAGGCGCGGGGCGCGCCUCCGUGCCCCGGGUUCUGCACGCAGCCAGAGCCUGCCAGGCCAUAUUCGCCCUGUGGCUGUUGGGCGGCGAGCGCGAGGAGCGCGUCCAACUCAGCGCUCCAUGCCUCGUGUGCCGGCGUGCCCUGGGGCGGCUCGUAGCGCACCAUGACUCGCGCGGCGAUAGUGGCCUCCGCCGGGGUUUGCGUGGGAGGCUGCCGGUUUCCUGGAUGGCUGCCCUCCGCCCUAUGCCCGGACACCAUCGGCUGAGCCGGACGCGAGCCGGUCGGCGUCACCCGCGACGCUCCGUGCUCCUCGUGCGGCUGCUGCCGCUGCUGCGGUUCGUCGGCCUGCGGGCCACCCCGUUGCAGGGCGCGGGCGGCUUUGUGACCGCUCGCGCGACAGGCUUUGGUGCUGGGAGCCGCCGGCCAUCUCGACCAGUUUCAGCCGACGGUCAAGGAGGCGGCGGCGGCAGCUGUGAUGGCUGUGCUCGGGCAGGCUCAGGACUACCCUGUUCCUUCGCACGUCGUGCGACGGCGUGUGCGCCGCUGGGGCCGCACGCGGGUCGAUCCUUGAGUCACCAGCCCGCUUGGGGGGCAUGGUGGCCUGCUCUGUCGUCGAAGAGGACGAGGCCGAAGGGGGUGUAAACGCUGCCGCUGGCGGUCACCGGCGAGCUCUCCUCACGCGCCCCCUACCUGGCAUGCCAGAUGUCGUCGCACGAGGCUCCGACACCGGGGAUGCGUGGGCACCACCUUUUUAGGUUCGGCAGUGGGCUACGGGGAUCGCUUCGGCGAUCGCCGGUGGGGCCAGUGCGAAGCCUGGGGAGACACUAAGAACGCAUGCACACGCUUUUUACCUAGGUUCGGGCCACCUUGCAGUGUAAAACCCUACGUCCUGCUUGUCUCAGCUUGUAUUACAGAGAAACGGAGGGUUUACAAAUUCCCAGGAAGAGUCACCGGGUGCUCUCUUUUCGGCUAAGUGCUCCUUGCUACUUUUUGUUAAGGCUAGUGCCGAACUGUGAGAUGGUAGAACCCUUUGACCGUUGGGGGGGGGGGGGUCCUCCUUUUAUAGCCAAGGGGACACCACAGGUGCCACGGUGCAUGGUUUACAUGUGGCGAGCAAGGAGCUCGGGCAGCUCCUCCUCGGUGCGCUGGCAUGCGUGCAUGAGUGCCAACCCCGCGGCUAGGGGUCUGAGGCCUAAGAAAUAGGACUGGACAGCCACUGUUCAUCCGACUAGACGGGUAACGCCUCUCCUGUCAGCUUAUUAAAUGCGUCGUGUGCCUCACUCCUGUCUUGACGAGACUGCACACUGGGUGCUUGCCGCGCACCCACGUGGCCCUGCUGCUCUGCUCGCUCGGCCCCGCCCUCACGGCGGGAACUUGCGCCCGGGAACACCUCCUCCCGUCAAGUGCCUUCCCGGGAGGUGCCCAGGAGGGAUUGUUCCCCGAAGCCCCGCUAGCCCUUCUGGGCUGGUAGUUUGCCGGGCAACCUGCACGGUGCCGCCCGGGGUGAGAUCCUCCCGGGAACUCAGCGAUGCGACCCACGCGUCGUGCAACGGUGGUACCCCGGGUGCUACUGGUGCGACAACAAUGCUGCGAGGGUAUGCGUGCGGGUGCGUGUUGGCGUGCAGCAUUGUGCCGAACACCUGGCGGGCGUGGGGGACAGUUUGCCCACCCUGUGUCCCUUUUUUUUAAACAACUGCUUGUAGACGGGCCACAGAGCGGGUUGGCCGGAGGCCCUUGUUGCCUAGGCUCCCCCUCUUUUUGUUUGUUGCACACGGGCAGGCCAAGCGCUUCGGCCCAGGAGGCUUGGCCUCCUCUUUUUUUUGCACGCAGGUUGGUCGAGGGCUUCGGCCCAGGAUGUUUGGCCUCCUUUUUUUAUCAUGCGGGCCGGCCGAAUGCUUCGGCUUGGGAGGCUUGGCCGAUGGCAAGGAGUUCAAGCAACCAUAAGUGGCACCCAGGGUGCAUCGUGGUUUUUUCGGAUUGGUCCCACGCCGGCUCGUGUGUGCCCGUCCACCCCUUCCUGCUGGAAUUCUUGGAGACGUACGGCAUCGAGUUGGCUCAGCUUCACCCUUCGACGAUCGUGAGGUUGAACGUGUUCUGUUGGCUGUGCGAGACAGCACUUCACGAGGAGCCUUCGAUGAGGUUGUUGCUGUUCUACUUCACCGUGGAGGUGAGGGAGUCGCUCACUCCUUACGGCUUUACUCUGAGCGCCUUUGGUUCAGUGAACCUGAGGCUUCGUUCUGGCUUCGGGGAUGAUUUUCUGCUCAUGCCGGAGAGGAGCACGGUGAAGUUGUUCGACAAGUGGGAGUCCUAGUGGUUUUUCCUUUGGACUUCUAGGAUACGUCUUCGACACACGGGUGAUCUUCCUUGACACUCAGGGGUCGGAGGACUCAAGGAGGUGCCUCACCCUGGCGAGCCUCGGUCGGACCUUUGGAAGGUGACCAAGAUCAAGGAGGUGUCCGCCGAGAGGAGCUUUCGUGACCUUAUGGAGGAGAUGGUGAUGACGGGGCGCUUCAUGGUUAGGAGCCACUCAAGGUCCGAGAUCGGGAUUCCUCGAUCUUUCCGUCCCCCGCAGUCAGUCACCACGCGUGAGUACCACUCUUUUUACCCUUCGCGCCUUGAUUGUUUUUCCCUUGCGACGUCACUUCACAAUUUUGGCUCGUCUCUUUUCAGCGACGUUUUCCGAGGAGAGGGCGGCGUUGUGGGCCGUGCAGCUGAUAGGUCCAUAUGGCAGGGCGGAGCACCGUGAUUACGAGACCAGGAUCAGUGGCGUGGGACGCCACAAUAUCAUCGCGAAGUGCUUUGGGAAGAUGGUGCCGAUGCGAUAGGAUCCGAAGCAUGGCCGCCUCCUCCGAGUGGGUGAUCGUUACUCCCACUUCGCGACACCGUCGAUGUUGGCGGUGGGGUCCAAGUUGCGGGAUUCUUGCGGGAAGGUGAAGGCUGGAGCGGCGGUGUUGGACCUGGCGGUGCCCGUCAUGCCAACUCCCAUGGUACCCCGCACGUCGAGUGGAUGCAAGAGGAAGGCCCCACCGACUCCUUCUCCUUCUUACGACUACGCGGUGAUGGAGUUGUCUACCAGAGCCAGCGGUGCGGGCGUCCAGGUGUUCUCCAUUGGUCGGGAGCGGCCUGAGGAGGAUGCUCCUACCUCGGGUGAGGGCCCUUUCUUUGGUUAUGUUGUUCCUCUUUGGCAAGGAACUUGACAAGAUUUUCAUUGCUUGUUUUCAAGUGCGAGGGCUGCGGCACCUGGGGAACUCGAGGGCGAGCCCCCGACUCGAGCAGAGGAUGGAGCACUCUCGAGGAUUGAGGACGGAGUGAGAGACCCACUUGCAACACUGGAGCUGGUGAGCAUCCGUGACAUGUCUCCCUUGAUCCUUCGGGUCUUGAUUUGCGCUAACAUCCAUCUUUUCCCUAGGUGAGGGGUUUGGUCGAGGCCGUGGGUGCUCUUCCUGCCCUCAAGACUCAAGUGGGGUCGCUUUUCGCUGCUUUGUACGUGGAGAUGUCCAGGUCUACCCUUGCCUUGAGCGAGUUGGCUUCGGAAAGGGCGCAGUGUGUGGUCGUGGAGGCUGAGAUUUCCCGCAUUUUGGCGGAGCUUUCGUCUGAGCUUUCCCGUGUUUCCCGCGUUUCCUCUCGCCGAGGAGCGCCAAAGGGACGAGAUCGUGAGGACCUGUCGAGUUGAGGAGGAUUUGGUGGUAGCCAACCUCGAUAUGGAGCAUGCUUCCGUCAAGGUGGAGUUGGCGACAGCGGUGGAUGGCCCGAUGCUUGCUCCUCGUGCUCGCCCUCCUCCGGAUCGUCGCCCCGAGGUGGUUUCACUUUUACUUGCUCAUGCCACCGAGAUCCGGGAGACGAUGAUUUGCUUGAGGAAUGUUUCUUGGCUGGAUAUUCCUCCGUGUUGCACGGUGGAUGAGGCGAGCAGGGCGCUUACUUCCCAGGUGGAGCUCAUUGUGCCCACCGUGAAGAAGUGCCUCCUGAGUACAGGCGCUCGACUUGUUUUGUCGGUGGUCGCGGCUGUCCUGGACGGCGGUGUCGGGAUGAGCGGACUUGAGGGUGAGAUGUCUCACGAGGCGAAGAAGGUUCUGGUGGACCAAGGAGCUCCUCUUCGCGGUCAGGCUUGACGUUUCGUGCGUAGCCUUGAGCCUGCUUUGCAAGAGGGUAAUGGCGAGGUGAGAAAACUAUACAAAACAAACAACAUACACAUACAUAAACACACAAUUCACAUCACGACAAAAUAAGAUAUGCUAUGAUGCGAUGCAACAUGUGACAUGAAUUGGUUUAUUUUAUUCGGGUGAUCAACUGGUCCUAAGCAUUGGUAAUUAAAACAAAUGCAUUAGGGUUUAAAAAAAAGGCAAAAACAAUUGAUUAAAACCCUAAAUUAUAGUUUCAUUGGCAUCAGCCAAAUAAUUUAAUUCAAAAUAUUUAUUUAUCUGUCCCCAAUGGACAGAGUACAAUAAAAAAAAUUUAGGCACCGGUUUAAUUAAAAAGGAUUUCUAAAUAAUUAGUUAUUAAUUAAAUGGCAUUAAACCCUAUUCUGUAAAUUGACUGAGGUUAAGUUAUUCAAAUUUAAUUUUAAACAGUGCCAAAAGAUUCUACAGGUCAAGAGCUUUCCAGAAAGGUAAAAUUUGUUAAAUUUGGCCAAAGGGUUUAAAAGUUAUGAUCAAUUUCUAGUGGAUUUUCUGUAAAAGUGCCAUUUUAGUUAUGAUCAAUGGCGUGCAUGGGUGCCACCUCCGCUGCUAGGGGCUUAAGACCCUAGGGUAGGAUUAGACAACCACUGUUCCUUGGAUUGGACGGGUAACUACCCAUCGGUCGGCUCGCUUACUCAGCCGUGCGCCUUACUCCUUGCCUCGGUGGGACCGCGCGUCCCUCGCCUGCAAUGCGCCCGCGUGGCGCUGUCCACUGGGCCCCACGACUCGAGGCGGGGGCACGCGCCCGGGAACCCCCAGACCCAGCAAGUCGACCCCGGGAAGCACCCGGGCCCAACGCACCAGGGAACCCCCUCCCGGGAAGCAGCUUCCCGGGAGGUGCCCAAGCAGGCGUAUUCCCUGAAGCCCCGCUAGCCCCUUUCGGGCUGGUAGCUUGCCGGGGAGCUCAUAGGCGCUCCCCGGGAUGAGACCUUCCCGGGAACCCAGGAGAGGGGCCCGCGCGUCGCGCAGCGGUGGUACCCCAGGUGCCACUGGUGCGACAGUAGCCCCGGGCGUGGGCCGGCAUCACCUGCUCCCGGAAGGGCCUCCCACUAGUCGGUUGCCGGGCUACGCCCUUAACCGACGUGUGGGCCCCGAUCCGUCGCGGGCCCACGUCCCUUCGCUGCCCCAUGUAUGGCGCCAUUACAAGCGGAGCAGUGGACGCGCGAUCUCCGCCCUAACUCCCUCCCCUAAGGGUAGUUAAGGCCACCCCGCGCAUUACUUCCAGUGAUUAGGAGUUAUCUCCGCGCACCCGUAGGGUAUGGAACCGGCCGUUUCCAAACGGCCGGGCAUCAUAAAGCCUCCACUGGUCCCAAAAGGGGAACAACACUUUGCCCCUUCGCCUCCAUCCUCUUUCGUGUCUCGUAUCCCUGCGCUCCUGCCAGCUUCCGCCCUCGCUUUUCAUGGCGCCCCCCACCACCAGGAAGGGGAAGGAGGUCCAAACCUCGAAGAAGCCCGCGACAAGCAAGACCGAGGCGGCAAUCAAAGCGGCCGCCGCGAAGGACCAGAAGAGGUGGGAGAUGCGUGCCACAGUCGCCUUCUUCCGCCCCGGCUAUAACGGCGAGGCACUAGGGAAGCUCUGGCUCGCCGUCGCCUCCAGCUUUAACGAGCACGGGGAGACGCAGAUCUUCCCGGCGGACGUCGAGCACCAGGACAACGAUUUCCGGGUGUUCACGCGCUUCCUCCUCUGCGGCAUGGUGCCGCCCUUCUCUCUGUUCCUCCACGCACUGAUGGAAUCUUAUCAGUUGCGGGUGCGCAGCUCCACCCCACCUCGCUCUUCCUCCUCGCCACCUUCCAGUUCCUCUGCGAGGCGUUCGUGGGGAUGAUGCCGUCGGUGGGGCUCUUCCGCCACUACUUCUACCCGCGAAUCGACAAUGCGAAGGCGAUGUCGUCAGGGGUGGUCUUCCGCACCCGCGACCAGAUGAAGUCCGAGUUCAUCGUCCGGUCAGGGAAGAAGAUUGAAAAAGAGUGGCGGGGCGACUGGUGCUGGGUCCGGGUGGAGGACCCCCAGGAGUUCAUCCAGUCGCCGACGGAGUUGCCGGUACCCAGAACGGCUGGCAGGACAGGUACCACCGCGACACUGACCUCCUCCCCAUCAUGGAGAAGAUCAAGGCGCUGCGGCUAGCGGGGCUCACCGAUGUCGAUGUGGCGCGCACCUUCGUCCAUCGGCGCAUAGCCCCGCUGCAGCUCCGCUCCCGGCCCGCGUGGAAUGACACGGGUUUCCGGGACAGGACACACCUCUAGGCAGACGGCAUGGAUUUAGAGUCCCUCAGGACUCCGGCGAGAUCUUGCAAUCAAAGGAGUUCCCACCGGGGGUUUCCGCUCUCCACGCCGGCGUCAAGGCACUUAGCGACAUCGUCGGCGCCUUCCCCCCCUGCAACGAGUGGGGGCUGAUGGACGACACCCCCACCCGGGUCCCGCACGCUCCCCUACAAGCAUCCCGCGGGAAGCAGGUGCUCGAGGAGAGCGAGCGCGGGACCGAGCCCAGCUGGCCCUCCCUCCGAUCGCUGGACGACGAGGCGGGCCAGGUGGCCGCGUCUUCGGAAGUCGUCGCCAUGGAGGACGUCGACGAGGAAAGCAGCGACAGCACGCCCUGGAUCGUGAGAAGAUCGAGGGCGUUCGCAGCGGCCGCAGCCAUCUCCUCAACGGCGACGUCCGCCCCGGCAGCGGCCCCCAACCUGGCGGCGGCGGCAGCUUCUAGGGCGCCCGUCGGUACCUCGACGGCACCAGCGGAAACACGGGCCGCGGGGGCCUCGGCGGCGGCCCCUGCCUUGGCAACUGCAAUUCCUGUUAGCCAAACUCACGAACAUACCUUCUCUUUCUGCAGUGAUCGGCAGCUCGCCCACGGCAAGCCUCUUGGACGCUCCCGCAGGCGCAGGCGAGGUAGGGGAGGCUGCCCCGGCAAGCCCGAAGGCCGCACAAGGUAACCGCGCCGGUCGCCCUUGUUCGCCUUUGAUAGCUCCAGCCAUCGCCGAUCCUCAUACUUCUCAUUGCUGUAGGCACAGGUGCGCCCCUGCCAGGAACGGGCGCACCCGUGGUCGACCCUGACUCGGUCGUCGAGGCCGCGAGGGCGGAGGUGGAGUCGGAAACGGCUCUCACGUCCGGCCCGGCUGCGAAUGACACAGCGGCAGCAGAGGACACCGCCGCCACCGUGACGGCACCUAGCGACGCGCCUGAGGCCGCGGACGUGGCCGGCACGGGCUAACCUGUCGUCCAAUAGGGGGCAACGCCCGCCGGAGGCAGGGAGCCUUCUCCAACCCCGGGGUCCCUGAGCGCAGGCGCGGGGGAAGUUGCCGGGGAAGGACGGCAAGACCCCUGGGAGCAAGUUGGCGACCCCACGCCUAGCCCAACUUCGGCAGCAGGGGCUUCAUCAUCCUCGAGAGCUAUCCCCGGCACCGACCUCGACACCCUCGCCGGGGUCGCUUGGAACCCCCUAACCUGGGAUUUGAGCGUCUUUGAGCGGGGGCGCCGGUUCCUAGACGCCGUCCGGGACCAGCAAUUUGCCUUCGUCACCUCCUACAACGAGGUGAGGGAGCGCCACACCGCCGCGAAGAAUCAACUCGGCGAGGUGCGAGAGGCCGUGGAGAGAGAGGGGCGCGAACUCUCCCGGCGGCGCGAGGAGGCGCGCCUCGCCGAAGAGGAGGCACGUCUGGCCCGGCAAGCCAUGGAGGCCGCUCGGGAGCCGGUAGUCCCGGAGACCGAGCUCCGUCGGCAACUAGAGGUCCAGCGCGUGGAGCUCCAAGGAAGGCUCGAGACGAUGGCGGCAACUCUCGAAACGGCCCGGAAGGAGCAUGCCGAGGUGCUCGCGACGGCCCAAACGCGGCUGGACGAGAUGAGCGAGCUGAUCGCCAAUUACCGCGGCAAAAUCCAAGGCCUCCGCGUCCUGCUGGAGGUGCAGGUCAAGGCUGCCGAGGAUGCGGCGAGAGCGGCGGCUCGGCACGAGGCCGAGCUCAACUCCGCCAAAGACAGAGCGGCCGGGCUUGAGGACGAGUUGGCCACCGUCCGGGAAGAGCUCGCCAAGGCCGGCGAGGACAACGCGACCAAGGCCGCAGAGCUUGAGAGGCUAGAGGGCCACGUCAGCAAGGCCAAGAAGGCCGCGGAAGAUGCCCGACUCCACCAUGGCACGCUGAUCGGGCAGCGGCAGCUUGAGACGGAGAAGCUGACAAAGAUCGCCCAAUCGCUACACGACCUGCUGCACAAGUUCGAGCUGCAGGCGGCGGAGGUGGACGGCACGGACGUCACGACGCUGAUCCCCUUCUUCUCCGACUUGGUGGGGAAGCUCGGGGUGCUUGAUGUCUGGAUCGCCAGCUAUGGCGCCAACGAAGUCGCCAACUGCGCCCGGGAGGUUGCCGGGACAAUCCUCCCGCGGAUUGAUCUCUGGGACCCAGAGUUUCCUUUUGAGUCCCUGCUGGACGCUUGGUCCGACAGCGAGGACGAGCCCACGCACACCCAAGCAGUGCGCGCGUUCGUCGACGAGGUCGUCCAGCGGAUGCAGAUGAAGCCGGAGCCUGAUCUCCCAGCCGACCCCCCGGCCGGAGACGGCGACAACUAGUUGCCACAGCCCCCAGCUGUGCUCGCUCUUCCACUGUACCUUCUUUUGUUUGCUUCCCCUGCAAGUAUGGCGCUUAGCGCCGGUUGAACAAUCACAUUUUGAUUAGUCCAUGUAAUCAUUCGACACUUAGUCAAUCAGCUUGUUAAUUUGCUUAAUUUUUGUCCCUUAUUCCCGAGGCUGCCUCGCGGGAUGGUUCCCUUUGCCGUUGUGUGUUACGCCUUGUGUUGCCGGGGACUUGCACACCCCACCCUUGACCAGACCAGGGACCCGGGACGGACCCGUGGUGCGGACCUGGGGCCAAGCGGUAGGCGACGAGCCACUCCGCUUGCGGGGUAACUACUCCAAGCCGUGUCCUCCCGGGACGGACCCGGGAGCCACACGAGGAGCGCACUCCCCCUGGAAGCGUCCUCCUCACACUUCGGCCACGCGCAGGUUCCGGGACCACACUCGGCAAAGCAGCGUUAAUUCUUAGUUAAGUAAACUUUUUCGACAAGUCCGUUAUUCCUGACGCUGUCUAGCGGGGUGGCCCCUUUUAGCCUUAGCGUAUUUUGCCUUGUGUCAUGGGGGACUCGUGCGCGCCUCACUCUUGACCGGACCAAGGACCCGGGACGGACCCGUGGUGCCGACCUGGGGCCAACCGGUAGCGGGGAGCCAUUCCACUUGCGGGGUAACUACUCCAAGCCGUGCCCCUCCGGGGCGGACCCGCGAAGCCACACGGGGAGCGCACUCCCCCCGCAAGAGUCCCUUUUAACACUUCGGCUACGCGCGGGAUCCGGGGCCGCACCCAGCGAGACAGUGCUCAGUUUCGUUCUGCUCUUAGCGAAUUCAGCGUUCAUGUUCAGACACUUAGCUUUUCCGUUCGGUCCAAUGCCUCGUGACGCUCGGCGGUAGAGUGCAGACAGGGCACUGCCUUGGUAGGAAAUCACCUUGGGUACCUGUUCAACGGAAACGAUCUCUGAGGGAUGCGGUAGUAUCGCCGCCAGCGGCAACCGCUGACGACGAUGCUACCACCACGCUCACGCGACAACCCUUGCCUUAAGGGACGGACCCUGGCUUUCAGGGAGGAACCCUGGCCUUCAGGGAGGAACCCUGGCUUAGGAGGACUCCGUCCCGGGAGCAGCCGCAAGACGACUAUAACGUCCUCACCGCCAGCUGCGCCCCACCCAGCACGGCAGGCACGGGUGGCGAGAAAGUUAUAGCCUCCCAGCGACAGCCCCCGCAACCAAAGAGACCUAGUUUUUUCUGGGGAACUCGUCCCAAGGGAUGUGACAGCCCUUGUUUCCCGGGAGCAAAACACUGUAGUAGUGCCCAAAGCGGGGAAUAAGCUUCGCAUGUGCGUAGAUUUUACCGAUCUUAAUCGUGCAUGCCCCAAGGAUCCCUUCCCUGUACCCCGUAUCGACCAGAUAGUUGAUUCAACCGCUGGUUGUGACCUGUUGAGUUUUCUGGAUGCUUUCUCCGGCUACCAUCAAAUCAAGAUGGCGGUCGAGGAUGAGGAAAAGUGUCGCACCCAUGGCACCAGGGGUACCACCGUUGCGCGACGCGUGGCCCCCUCCCCCGGGUGAUAUGGACAUGCUAACCAUGGAUACAACCAUUAGAACCCUAAUUGUUGGUGUAUCUAAUAACAAUUAUAAUCAGGUGAAUUCAAUUACAAAAUGUUUUCAAUAUGUUACUUGCAAAGAGGCGGAGCUACUAUCUUGUGUAAUCUUAUUAUGUAGACAUCUUAUUGACCUUUACAAGUCCAAAGUGAAGAUGAAGAGUGAUAGCCUGCAAAGGGAGAUUCAAAGUGAAGCCUAUCAAGUCUACUUUCUAACAAAUCAAACGGCACUUGAUUCGGAGUUUGCUAGAGAAAGGUAUCACGAAUUAAAGUUGAAUCCGAUUCGGGUCCGAGCUGUCAGGAGACCCGAAUUUGUUUUAAUCACCCAGGCCGCAUCCGGAGUCCAAAUCAAGCAAACAAGUACUUGUUGGAAAGGUAAUUACAAGACCUUUCCAACGGGUCUGGCCCCAUCAAGAGAUUCGACUCGUGCUGACCGUGGCGGACAAAACAAGCUGACGGAUCUGUUUUUCUGUUUCCUAAAGAGUUGUAGUUUGUUAGGAAAGUUAGAGAUAGCGUUGGAUUUCGGACUCCUUAUUCAAGAUGGACGAAAAUAUCUCUCCCUCCUCCUUUAUAUACCCCAUGAGCCCCCUAAGGAGCCUUGGGUUUUGUUUAGUUAAAAGUUAGCCAUCGCUACUACUUCGUGUAAUCGCGUGUGUCGGUUAGACCACCUGUUUUACCGCUUUCGGAACCCCAACUUAUCGUCUCCUUGAGACAUUGGUUUGAUAUAGUAUAUUCGCAAUUUUAGAUUGCAUCCGCUAUUUAUCUUGUUCUUGCUUGUUCUUCGAUUGCUUGCAGGAACAAAGAUCUUCGUGGUCAGGUUGAUCAUGCCCCGCGUGAUCAAUAACCCUCUGGAGUUGGUGUAUCGAUUGCUAAGGCGCUGCCUCCUAGGCCGUAGUCGGAUCGUCAACGUCACCUCCUACACAAAUCGAGAGUGAUCAAUCUCAUCGAAAGAUCGGGCCACCCGCACCCGUAUCACCGGGUUCCCGGGAAGGUCCAAUCCCGGGGAGCGCCGACGAGCUUCCCGGCAAGCUACCAGCCCAAAAGGGGCUAGCGGGGCUUCUGGGAAUAUUCCCGCUUAGGCACCUACCGGGAAGCUGCUUCCCGGGAGGAGGAUCCCGGGUGCGCUGGGCCCGGGUGCUUCCUGGGCCGACUUGUGGGGACUGGGUUUUCCCGGACGCGUGCCCCCCGCCUCGGGUCGUGGGGCCCACUGGAUGGCGCCGCACGGGCGCGUGACGGGCGCGGAACGCGCGGUCCCACCAAGGCAAGGAGUAAGGCGCGCGGCUCAGUAAACGAGCCGACCGACGGGUAGUUACCCGUCCGAUCCAAGGAACAGUGAUUGUCCAAUCCUACCCUAGGGUCUUAGACCCCUAGCAGCGAAGGUGGCACCCAUGCAUGCCACCAGCUCACCAGGGAGAGUUGCGUGCCUCCCCGUUGGACACUUGUAGCCCAUGCACCGUGGCACAUGUGGCAUCCCCUUGUGUAUAAAAGGAGGACCCAUGCCAGCGGUCAAGGGGGUUAGAGGGUUGACGGGUCAGACAGUUGGGAGGAUAGUGAGUUGAUCAGUUGGUUCCGGUAGACAGCAAGCAGAGAAUUGCAAGGAGUACUUAGACAUUGAGAGGAAGCCCGGGAAUUGGCCCGGCGAGAACUUGUAAAUGCUUGAUCCUCAAUCAAUAUCAGUUCAGACAGGCAAGACGUAGGGUUUUACGCCUCCGGGUGGCCCAAACCUGGGUAAAAAACGGGUGUGCCUUUGUUUUGGUACUAGCGCGCCCUCUUGGCACUGGGUCUCACCGGCCCCAUAGGGCCCCAUCGACCGUGCCGGCGAUAACCGGGUCUCCGCCCCAGAUGCCCCUACCGAACCUAAAAGGGGGAUGUGGCUGCACGCCCCCCGUGUCUGAGCACCGAGCGACGACAUCUGGCGCGCCAGGUAGGGGGCGCGGGAGUGGACAGCGCUGGAGAUCGCCGGCAGCAGAAGUUCCCAUCGGCAUCGGCUUCACUCUUCGGGGGCCCGGAGGGGUCCUCGAAUUCAUCGCCCACCGUCACGGGGGGUGAUGCGCGUGGCAUCUUGAAUGCCCGACAACAGAAGGAUCUGCGCCCGCGCUUGGAGCGCCGGCGCAGGCGCGAGGUGGAGCGCCCGCGCCCACUGGAGCAAAAAGACACUCCCCUGGGCCCGGAAGACGGCGGCACCGCGUUUGCGCGCGAGAUGCGGCGGGUGGUGGGGCCCAAUAAGUUCUGAGCGCCCUCGGUACGUACGACGGGACCGCUAACCCCAAAGAUUUUCUCCUGGCCUAUACGCUGGGCAUGCAUGCCAUCGGCGCCGACGACAAGGUCAGGGCGAACUAGUUCCCGAUGGUCCUGAAGGGAGCAGUUCGUGAGCGCCCCCAACGUCCGCGAUCUCAAGAUGCGCCCCCUAGUUGCUCAACCUGCCCGCCGGAUCCGUCGCCACCUGUGCAGACCUGCGCGAGCAGUUCGUGAGCGCCCCCAACGUCCGCGAUCUCAAGAUGCGUGAGAAGCUGAGCACGCAUCGGAUCCGGACGACGCAGGACUUGUACGCCUUGGCACACAAGUGCGCCAUGGCCGAGGAGGGGCGCCUAGCACCCGAGCUGGCAGCCCAGGCUGCCGCGAGCCCUGGUGAUAUGGACAUGCUAACCAUGGAUACGACCUUUGGUACCCUCAAUUCUAUAAUAUUUGACAAGAUUUAUAAUCAGGUGAAUUCAAGUAGUAAUUGUUUUCAUUGUCAUAUUUAUGAAGAGGCGGAGCUACUACUAUCUUGUCUCGUUUUAUUACGUAGGCAUCUUGUCGAGCUUUUCAAGUCCAAGGUCAAGAUGAGAUACGAUGGAGGCGAACGAGAGGGCCAACAAGAAUCAAGCAUUCAUACAGCUGAGAGGGAAGGAUUUCAAGUGUACUUUCCAACAAAUCAAACGGCACAUGAUUUGGAGCUUGCUAGAGAAAGAUAUCACGAAUUAAAUUUGAAUCCGAUUCGGGUCCGAGCUGCCAGGAGACCCGAAUUUGUUUUAAUCAUCCAGGACGCAUCCGGAGUCCAAAUCAAGCAAACAACUACUUGUUGGAAAGGUAAUUACAAGACCUUUCCAACGGAUCUGGCCCCAUCAAGAGAUUCGACUCGUGCUGACCGUGGCGGACAAAACAAGCUGACGGAUCUGUUUUUCUGUUUCCUAAAGAGUUGUAGUUUGUUAGGAAAGUUAGAGAUAGAGUUGGAUUUCGGACUCCUUAUUCAAGGUGGACGAAAAUAUCUCUCCCUCCUCCUUUAUAUACCCAUGAGCCCCCCUAAGGAGCCUUGGGUUUUGAUUAGAUAAAGUUUAGCAUCUUUGCUACUUUCGUGUAAUCGCGUGUGUCGGUUAGACCACCUGUUUUACCGUCGUCAAGACUCCAACUUAUCGUCUCGUUGAGACAUUGGUUUGAUAUAGUAUAUUCGCAAUUUUAGAUUGCAUCCGCUAUUUAUCUUGUUCUUGCUUGUUCUUCGAUUGCUUGCAGGAACAAAGACCUUCGUGGUCAGGUUGAUCGUGCCCCUGUGUGAUCAAUAACCUUUUGGAGUUGGUGUAUCGAUUGCUAAGGCGCUGCCUCUUAGGCCGUAGUCGGAUCGUCAACGUCACCUCCUACCCAAAUCGAGAGUUACCAAUCUCAUCGAAAGAUCGGGCCACCCGCACCCUUAUCACGAUUCGACAGUUGGGUUCUGGGGUAAUACCCUUCAUCGUCUCGCCGAUCAUUAGCAAUAUGAUGGUGGACAACGGAGCGGGGCUUAACCUCCUGUCCGCCAGGCUGGUGGAAAAGCUCCAGCUGCCGAUGGAGCAGCUAAAGCCCACCGAACCGUUCCGGGGGGUGAACCCCGGGAUCAUGCGCCCGCUGGGACGCAUCACGCUGCCAGUCACCUUCGGGUCCCGGGAAGCGUUCAUGACCGAGCACAUAGUGUUCGACGUGGAGCAUACCCCGUUGCCCUACAACGGGAUCCUUGGUCGGCCGGCGCUGAUCGAGUUUAUGGCAGCCACGCAUUGCGCCUACGGCGUGAUGAAGAUGCCGUCCAUCUAUGGAGUCCUCUCCAUCGGGUGCGAUCUCAAAGACGCAGCUUGGUGCGUUGGCGAGGUCGUCCGGGCCGCUGCUGCAGCUAACGCCGGCGACGAAGGUGGGCAAGCUCAGGGCUGCCGGGGCGAUCAGGGAAGUUCUGUACCCCACUUGGCUGGCUAACUCUGUAGUAGUGCCCAAAGCGGGGAAUAAGCUUCGCAUGUGCGUAGAUUUUACCGACCUUAAUCGUGUAUGCCCCAAGGAUCCCUUCCCUGUACCCCGUAUCGACCAGAUAGUUGAUUCUACCGCUAGUUGUGACCUGCUGAGUUUUCUGGAUGCUUUCUCCGGCUACCAUCAAAUCAAGAUGGCGGUCGAGGAUGAGGAAAAGACAGCGUUUAUCACCCUGGUUGGCUGCUACUGUUAUACAUGCAUGCCUUUCGGGUUGAAGAACGCGGGCUCCACAUUCCAGCACGCCCUGCGAGAAUGUUUGGGGCCCCAGCUAGGCCGCAACGUGGAGGCCUACAUGGAUGACAUCGUCAUCAAAUUGAAGCGUAGGGGCUCGCUGAUUGAUGACCUGCGGGAGACAUUUGACAACCUCCGCAAGCUCAAACUCAAGCUGAACCCUGAUAAGUGCACCUUCGAUGUCAACUCCGGGCAGCUUCUGGGUUUCUUGGUUUCACACCGGGGGAUACAGGCCAACCCGACCAAAAUAGAAGCCAUCGAGAAGAUGGGGGCCCCCCGAAGGGUGAAAGAUGUCCAGCGCCUCAACGGCUGCGUUGCCGCGCUUGGACGCUUCAUUUCCCGGCUGGGCGAGCAUGCCCUGCCUUUCUUCCGGGUAAUGAAGAAGAAGGGUCCAGUCGACUGGACUGCCGAGGCGCCACUACUUCCAGGCGCACCGCGUCACGGUGGUGUCCGGGUUCUUCCUCGAGAGGACCCUCACCAACCGUGAAGCCACCGGGAGGGUGGCCGAAUGGAGGAUGGAGCUGUCGGAGUUUGACCUCCACUUCGCCAACUCCAAAAGCAUCAAGAGCACGGCCCUGGCGGACUUCGUCGCGGAGUGGACGUCCAAGGGCGUAGAAUAAAGUGAGUCGGAGACCGGCCUUCCCGGCAAGCUGGACGGGGGCCACUGGGUCCUCUACUUCGACGGUGCGUUCAGUCUCCAGGGAGCGGGGGCUGGGGUCGUCAUCGAGUCACCCACAGGGGACCGGCUGCGGUUCGCCGUCCAACUCGACUUCGCUAACUCCACCAACAACACGGCGGAGUACGAAGGCCUGCUUGCCGGGCUGCGGGCAGCGGUCGCCCUCGACAUUAAGCGCCUAGUUGUUCGCGGUGAUUCCCAGCUUGUGAUCAACCAGGUGAACAAGGACUACGAUUGCCCUCAAAUGGCGCCGUACGUGGAAGAGGUCCGCAAGCUGGAACGGAAGUUCAAGGGUUUGCGCUUCGAACACGUCAAGUGGAAGGACAACUUCACUGCUGAUGAACUGGCCAAGAUGGCAGCAGAGCGCCGAAAGCCUCCGGCGGGGGUGUUCUGUCAGAAGCAACUGGCCCCUUCAGUCACCCCCCAGCCGGCUGCUGGGGACGGCCCUCCGGCAACCGAAGGAACCCCUAUAGCAGCAGGGGUCCAUGCCGCUGAUAUGGCGGCAUGCGUUGGCAGGGAAAUUCCUCCCUGGGCGGAAGAGAUCGCCCGCUAUUUGAAAGGGGAGGCUCUCCCGGAGGAUGACGUCGCCGCGGAGCGCGUGGCGCGGCAAGCCAAGAUGUACACUGUGAUAGAUGGCAGCAUGUACCGCAGGCGCGCGAAUGGUGUCAAACUCAUCUGCGUGCCGCAGGAAGAAGGGUGUGCACUGUUGGAGGACAUACAUCGAGGCACAUGUUCACACCAUGUGGCCUCCCGGGCUUUGGCCGGCAAGGCUUUCCAGCAUGGCUUCUACUGGCCCACGGCCCUGGCUGACGCAGAGCAGCUGGUGAGGACAUGCGAAGCGUGCCAGUUCCACUCAAAGAAGAGCAACCAACCAGCCCAGGCCCUGCAUGCCAUCCCGUCCUCAUGGCUGUUCGCGGUCUGGGGACUGGACAUCGUCGGCAAGCUACCAAGGGCGGUUGGCGGUUACGAAUACUUGUUUGUGGCCAUUGACAAGUUCUCCAAAUGGGUGGAGGUGGAACCAGUGCGCAAGGUGACCGCCCAGGCGGCCAUCAAGUUCUUUAAGGGCAUUGUGUGCCAGUUUGGUGUUCCUAACAGCAUCAUCACCGACAACGGCACACAAUUCACGAGCGCGGCGUUUCACGCCUACUGCGAAGACAUGGGUACUAAGCUGCGCUUCGCGUCCGUCGCUUACCCGAGGAGCAACGGGCAGGCAGAGCGGGCCAACGCAGAGGUUCUGCAGGGGCUCAAGACGAGAACCUUUGACAAGCUCAAAGGCCCCGGGAAGCACUGGAUCGAAGAACUCCAACCCGUGUUGUGGUCCAUCCGGACCACACCUAGUCGGGCAACGGGCGAAACUCUUUUCGCCCUUGUCUACGGGGCAGAAGCGGUGCUGCCCCUCGAGCUCAAGUACGGAUCUCCCCGAGUACGCGCGUACGGAGACACCAGCCAACACGAGCAAAGGGUCGAUGAUCUAAACUUCAUCGAAGAGCUUCGAUGUCGGGCUGCUGUGCGAGCCGCGCGCUACCAGCAGGGACUCCGUCGUAAUCACGACAGACGAGUCUGUCCCCGGGGGCUCGAGAAAGGGGACCUUGUCCUGCGCCGGAUACAAGGAACGAAGGCCGGGAACAAGUUGACUCCGAAAUGGGAGGGCCCCUUCCGGGUAGUGCAGGUGACCAGGCCGGGGGCUGUCCGCCUGGAAACCGAAGGCGGCUUGCCGGUGCCCAAUAGCUGGAAUAUUGAACACUUGCGCAAGUUCUACCCGUGAAGCGGCGGAGCCCGACCCUCAGGUGAUGCCUCCGAUGCAUACCUCUCGAACUAGUGUAACCGGGCAGCCCCCGUGUGUAAACCGCUAGUUAAUCGUGAAUAAAGAUAAGUGUUUCACCCCUGAGCUUUGUUUUUGCCUUGUUCAUUCGCGUGUUUUCCCCCUCUUGCCUCCUGCUUUAAGUGCACAAAGUUGUCUCUCCAUACUCGGUUGUGAGCAAGGGGCUUCCGUGGCCCCGAAACGAAAACCCGUUGCCGGAUCGUUCCGGCACUGGACAUGCCGUUGGCGGGCCUCCCGCAGCCUGCACCGCGCAGUCGCUGCGCCCGGGAAAGGAAAUGCUCACAUCCAAGUUUGGCAUCGACCCCUUUGUGCCGAGGGCUGGGAAGCAGGAGAGAUUUAUCUGUUUUACCUGUGUUACUUGUUUUCGUAAGUUUUGAAAAAAUUUGCAGCACCUCGGAUCUGGUAAGAGUCUAACCUGCAGGAAAGGGAGGACUCUUGUACACUGUGGUGCCCGUGAGCUGCCCACGAGUUGCACCAUAAAUCGGCGCCUUGUGGUGAGGGAGGACCGCAACAGAAGGGGUUCACCGCACUCCGAGGCUUCUGAGUUGACGGCUUGCUGCCACGUGUGCCGCGGUUACCGGGUAAGCAUGGCGGCGGAAACUGCGCCGCGUUCAAGGGAAAGGCGCCACGGCACCGCGCGGAUCCGUCGCGCGCGGUGGGAAGCCACCCUCCCGCGUCUAUAAAAGGCGCGCCCCAACUAUGGGACGGCUCAGAGCGAAGCCGGGUUCGGGGUCGUGAAGGCAGGUGGUGCAUCACCCCAUCGAGCCCACCCCGAGGGGUGCCACAGAGGCACGAGGGCAGUGCAUGCCAUCGGCGUCCUGCGCCGACAGGUGCACUGCCGUGGUGCCCCUGCUGCGCUUCCUCAAAUGGGCGGUUCCGGGGCGAGGGUCACCGCAGAGGCACUAUGGUGGUGCGUCCCGUCAGCGUCCGGCACCGACGGGGUGCAUUGCCACAGUGCCCUUGUCGCCCCCCUCCGAAGGGCACCUCCGCAAGGAGCAAGGGCUGCCGCGGAUACUCUAUGGUAGUGCAUGCCAUCCGUGCCUUGUGCCGACGGGUGCACUAUCAUAGGGACCCGGCCGCAUUCCCUUUGAGAGAGCCUUUUUCGGGCGCGGGUCGUUGCGAGGACGCUGUGAUGGCGCCGGUGACGGUGCUCGUCGCUCGUUCCGGCCCAUCACCGUGUCCUUGCCGCGGCCCUCGAGCAGUUUAGCUCCCGAGUAACAAGGGUCGUCGCAUCCCUUGGGACAAGUUCCCUAGAGAAAACCCAGGUCUCCCCAGUUGCGGGGGCUGUCGCUGGAAGGCUAUAACUUCCGUCCCGGGUCCCUGGUAUAGUCAAGGGUGAGGCGUGCGCGAGUCCCCCCGCAACACAAGGCAAGACACGCAAAGGCUAAGGAAACCACCCCACGAGGCGGCCUUGGGAAUAAAGGACAAAAAUUGAGCAAACUAACAAGCUUGAUUAACUAAGUGUCGAAUGGUUACAUGGACUAAUCGAGAGGUCAUUGUCCAAACGGCGCUAUGCGCCAUACUUGCAGGAAAAGCAAACAAGAAGGAGGUACAAUGGAAGCAAGGAGUAUAGCUGGCGGCUGAGGCAGCUAGCUGUCGCCGUCUUCUGCCGGGGGAUGGACGGGGGGUUCAGGCUCCGGCUUCAUCUGCAUCCGCUCGAAGACCUCGUCGACGAACCCGCGCACUGCUUGGGUGUGCGUGGGCUCGUCCUCGCUAUCGGACCAAGCGUCCAGCAGGGACUCGAAGGGAAAUUCCGGGUCCCGGAGAUGAAUCCGCGGGAGGAUUGUCCCGGCAACCUCCCGGGCGCAGUUGGCGACUUCGUUGGUGCCAUACUUGGCGAUCCAGACAUCGAGCGCCCCCAGCUUCCCCAACAAGUCGGAGAAGAAGGGGAUCAGCGUCGUGACGUCCGCGCCGUCCACCUCCGCCGCCUGCAGCUCGAACUUGGGCAGCAGGUCGCGCAGCGACUCGGCAAUCUUCGCUAGCUUCUCCGUCUCGAGCUGCCGGUGCCCGAUCAGCGUGCCGUGAUGGAGUCGGGCGUCUUGCGCGUCCUUCUUGGCUUUGCUGAUGCGGCCCUCCAGCUUCGCAAGCUCCAAGCGCUGGGUCGCGUUGGCCUCGCCGGCCUUGGUGAGCUCUUCCCGGACGGCGGCCAACUCGUCCGCAAGCCCGGCCGCUUUGCCUUUGACCGAGUUGAGCUCGGCCUCGUGCUGAGUCGCCGCUCUCGUCGCGUCCUCGGCGGCCUUGACCUGCACCUCCAGCAGGACGCGGAGACCUCCAUGUGCUGGACCUCCAGUUGCCGACAGAGCUCGGCCUCCGGGACUACCGGCUCCCGAGCAGCCUCCAGGGCUUGCCGGGCCAGCUGCGCCUCCUCUUCGGCGAGGCGCGCCUCUUCGCGCAGCCGGGAGAGUUCGCGCCGCUCUCUCUCGAUGCCUCCUGCAACUCGCCGAGUUGAUUCUUGGCGGCGGCAUGGCGCUCCCUCACCUCGUUGUAGGAGGUGACGAAGGCGAACUGCUGGUCCCGGACGGCGUCCAGGAACCGGUGCCCCCGCUCGAAGACGCUCGGAUCCCAGGUAAGAGGAUUCCAAGCGACCCUGGCGAGGGUGCCGAGGUCGGUGCCGGGGAGGGCCCCCGAGGAUGAUGAAGCCCCAGCUGCUGAAGUAGAGCUGGGCGCAGGGUCGCCAACUUGCUCCCGGGGGUCUUGCCGUCCUUCCCCGACAACUUCCCCCGCGCCUAGGCUCUGGGGCACCGGGGUUGGAGAGGGCUCCCUGCUUCCGGCGGGGGUCGACCCCUGUUGGACGACGGGUGAGCCCGAGCCGGCCACGUCCGCGGCUUCAGGCGUGUCGCCGGGUGCCGCCGCAGCGGCGGCGGUCUCCACUGCUGCUGCUGUGUCUGCCGCAGCGGGGCCGGACGUGGAAGCUGUUUCCGACUCCCCCUCCGCUGAAGCGACAGCCCCCGUACACGGGUUCGAUCUCUGUGCUUUAGUGCUAGUCCCUGGAUCGACUCACUAGCACACACAGUUUCAAGAUGUAAUAUCAUAAAACAAAGGUCUCAAUAUUACAACGAAUCAUCCAGAAUUUAAAAGGUACUUACAACUCGCAUAACCUCACGGGUUAGCUGGAAAUAAAACAACUGUUUAGCAGCGGAAAGUGAAAGAUACAAGGGCACAUCAACACCACGGUGAGAGCGUGUUGGAAUGUAAGCCCGUAACCCAAACAUGCAGAACGUACAUCUUACUCGUCGUCGAAGCUUCCUGCAUCAUUAAACGAUGCAGCCACUUGGGUCAAUACAUUGAAUGUAUUGGCAAGAUUCACUAGGAGUUAUAAUAGAACCUACCAAGUAUAUGCAGUAUUUGGCAAGGUGGAGUUCAGGCUGUUUGCGUGGAAGCAGAACAUAAAAUACCCUACUACAAAGGAAUGUUAUAAUAAUGUUAACUAAUGGACACGGGGUAGACACACCCAUGCUCCUAUUAACCUAGAGUACAUUGAUGUGGAUUCAUCAAGUGCCCCCACCCUGUUCAACCAUCCAUUUUAUUUAAGAAAUUGGAAUGAGUCAGACUUUCCUAACAGCUCCACAUCUAGUCGCUCAAACUGUCCGUUGCCGGGGACACGGCUAAGUACUUAGUUUUGACGCUCUCGAGAGUUCGUACACAUUCCCCACAAGAAACCGACGUGUUAAUCCCUUGCUGUCCUCAGGGUAGAGUGGCAACGGCAUCGAUUACGAGAUUUUCAGAGGUAAUUUCCUAAACCACGAGAGAAUCACGCUCCCCCUACACGGCUACCUCAGUACAAUUCUUCGGGUUUAGGUUCAUACAACUUACUCUUGUCUCGCCAGAGCCCAUAUAGCAUUGUGGCUCUACUAGAAGCUUCUAAAUAGGAAACUAGUCCAGUCUCAGUUACCCUAGGUGGCAUUCCACAUUUGCCACGUAGGCGCUCCCCGAAUCCACGGGAGAGACGUCAUGGACGAUCCAUUCCUGAAUCCACAGGAACUCGACUCAGAGGGACCCAUAUAAAUGGACCUGACGCCGCUAAUCCUCAAAAUCUUCAAAGCAGUCCACCUAGGAUGGUUCAUUGAAUUAGUUGUUUUGCCUUACAUCUAGCAAAAACAUUUCAUAUAGCCAAAGGCAUAACAAUAUCAUAAUGUAGUUAUUUACCCCACGAUACUAUCUUAGCUUAGCAUUCAACUACAAUCGAUGGCAAUUUGGUAGCAAGGUAAUGGCGAGGGUAAACUAGACUACCUGGGAUUUUUAGCUAGCAUAGAGGUACGAGUAAUAGUCCUAUCAAUGCAUCUCUACCAACAACACUAAUGCAUAAUUAUUUUAAAACAACAAUAAUAAUGGGAUAUGAUCAAAGUGAACUUGCCUUGUCCAAGGUUGUGGUAGUUCUCGCACUCUUCGCAACAACAAUGAUUACACUCCACACAAUCUAAAUUAAAAGGAACACACACAAUAAACACAACACUCAAUACAAAAUCAUGCCAUGAUGCAUAUGCUAUGAUCAUGCACAAGGAAGGUUACUUCUAAAGUAAAAAGUUUCGUUUCUGUUUUGAAAAGUUUUUCAAAUGGUUUGGACGGAUUAUACAACAACAAAGUGCUAAUUAAUAUGCAUGAAACAAGGAUAGGUUGUAAAACAAAAGAUUGUGCGGUUUUGCAACAUAGAGCAAUAUUUAACUUGCAUGCCAUGAUUAUACACAAAAUAAUUUCUUUUCUGGUCCCACUGGACAGAGAACAAGUUUAAUAAAUUUUAUAGCAAGAUAACAUGCUCAAAACUAUUUUGAAACAAUUCAUUUGAAAAUUAAACCAUAUUCAACCAUUCUGUAAAUAGCUACUGUCUAAGUUGUUCAAAACUAAAAUUAAAAAGUGCCAAAAUAUUCUACACGUUGAGACGAUUUCAGAAAGGUGCGGAUCACAAUUUUUGGACAAACGGUUUGAAAGAUACGAGGUUUUAAAGAUACAGGGGCUUUUCUGCAAAAGUGCAUUACUAAUUCGGCCGAAUUAAAAUAAAAAAAAAUGCUCUGCCACGUGGCAGCGUGGGAUAGGCUGGGAUCUAGGGUUCCGGCUGGCGGGGCUAGCUCGCCGGACGGUCCGGUCCUGUGCGGCUGGUCCGGUCUGGUUCAGCCGGUUUUCCUUUUCUUUUAUCUAUUUUCUGUUUUUGAACCUCAAAAUUGAUUCGGAGCUCCAAAUCACUCCAAAUGAAAUGCAAAAAAAUUUGUAAAAUCAUAUUUUCAUAUGAUCUAACUUUUGGAAUAAGAAUUUUCUCAAAAUAAAAUAUUUAAAAAUACAUUUGCCUAUAAAAUGGCUUUUAGGCCCCUCAAGCUAUCGAAACAAAUUAUUUUUGAAAAUACUUUCAAAAGCCAAUUUAUGGGAUAGCUCUAUAUAUGCAUUAAAUCCCUUUUUACCGCAAUACCCUCAUGGGUUAAAAUGCAAAUACUCAAGAGCAAGAUCAACGACCAAAAUCAAAUAAAGGCGUUUCCGCAGAAGGGUUUUCUGGGCAAAUUUUAGGGUUUUGAAAGUGAUCAAAUGCAAGGGCGACAUGAUGCUUAUGAUAUGCAAUGCAUAUGAAGAGUUUUGAAAAUUGGGAUGUUACAUCCGCCCCCGCGGUCCCGACGACCGACUCGAGGUCGGCCACGGCCGCGCCUGUUCCGGGCGAGGGCGCACUUGUGCCUACAACCGUGAAAAAGCAUGAGGGUCGGAGAUGGUUGGUGCUAUCGAAGGCGAACAAGGGCAACCGGGGCGGUUACCUUGUGCGGCCGUCGGGCUUGCCGGUGCAGCCUCUCCUACCUCGCCUGCGCCAGCGGGAGCAUCCAAGGGUCUUGCCGCGGGCGAGCUGCCGCUUGCUGCAGUAAAAGAAGGUAUGUUCGUGAAUUUGGCUAACAGGAAUUGCAGUUGCAGAGAAUCAACGAAGACAUACCCGAUGCCGGCUCUGUCUCUGCUGGGGCUGGGUCGCCAAGGGACGCGCCCGCGCUGACGCUGGCCCCCGAGGCAGCAGGAUCGGUGGCGCCGCCAGCGUCCGCGUGCGUCCUCUUGCAUGGCGAGCCGGGCGGGGAAUCGCUCCUCGCCCUCUUGCUAGCGCCCGCCGGCGAGGAGGACUUUGGAGGGUUGCGCCGGAGCGCGAAGCCCCAAGAGACCCCCCGGGCGGGCGGCGCCGUGGGCACCCGCGGUGUCGCCGUGACCCGGAGAGCUCCGGGAGUCGAUGGCGAUGCCACCGCGAUGCCGGGCGCCAAGCUCGCGGAGGCCCCCGCUACCGGAGCGAAGGCCGUCGCCGGGGCACCGGAGUCCCCCGCGGGUGCUGGAGUUGCCGGGGUACCGGCGGGCACCCCGGGACCAGUUCCCGCCGCGGAGCUGGCGGCCGCCGCCAGGGCAGGGGCCGCUGCCGAGGCACUCGCGGCCCCUAUUGCCGCGGAUGCCGUCGCGGUAUCGAUGGGCGCCCCAGGAGCGGCGGACGUCGCGGUUGAGGAGGUGGCUGUGGCCGCCGCGAACGCCCUCGACCUUCUCACGAUCAGGGGCGCGUUGUCGCUGCUUUCCUCAUCGUCCUCCACGGCGACGACUUCCGGGGACGUGGCCACCUGGCCCGCCUCGUCGUCCAGUGACCGGAGGGAGGGCCCGCUGGGCUCGGACCCGCCCUCGUUCUCCUCGAGCACCUGCUUCCCGCGGGGUGCCUGCGGGGGAGCGUGCGGGACGCGGGUGGGGGUGUCGUCCAUCAGCCCCCACUCGUUGCAGGGCGGGAAGGCGCCGACGAUGUCACUGAGUGCCUUGACGCCGGCAUCUAGAGCGGAGACCCCUGGCGGGAACUCCGUCGACUGAAAGACCUCGCCGGAGACCCCCUUCACCCACGUCCUGAGGGACUCCAAGUCCAUGCCGUCCGCCUGGAGGCGUGUCCUGUCCCCGGAGCCCAUGUACAUCCACGCGGGCCGGGAACGCAGCUGCAGCGGAGCUAUGCGCCGAUGGACGAAGGUGCGCACCACGUCGACAUCUGUGAGCCCCGCUAGCCGCAACGCCUUGAUCUUCUCCACGAUGGGGAGGAGGUCGGCGUUGCGGUGGUACCUAUCCUGCCAGCCGAUCUGGGGCACCGGCAGCUCCGUCGGCGGCUGGAUGAACUCUUAGGGGUCCUCCACUCGGACCCAGCACCAGUCGCCCCGCCACUCUUUUUCGAUCUUCUUCCCCGACCGGACGAUGAACUCUGACUUCAUCUGGUCGCGGGCCCGGAAAACCACCCCCGACGACAUUGCCUUCAUGUUGUCGAUGCGCGGGUAAAAGUAAUGGCGGAAGAGCCCCACCGAUGGCAUCUCCCCCACGAACGCCUCGCAUAGGAACUGGAAGGUGGCGAGGAGGAAGAGCGAGGUGGGGUGGAGCUGUGCCACCCGCAACUGAUAAGACUCCAUCAGCGCGUGGAGGAACAGAGAAAAGGGCGGCACCAUGCCGCAGAGGAGGAAGCGCGCGAACACCCGGAAGUCAUUAUCCUGGUGUUCGACGCCCGCCGGGAAGAUCCGCGUCUCCCCGUGCUCGUUGAAGUUGGAGGCGACGGCGUGCCGGAGCUUCCCCAGUGCCUCGUCGUUGUAGCCGGGGCGGAAGAAGGCUACUUUUGCACGCAUCUCCCGCCUCUUCUGGUCCUUGGCGGCGGCCACUUUGAGUGCCGCCUCGGUCUUGCUGGUCACGGGCUUCUUCGAAGACUGGACCUCCUUCCCCUUCCUGGUGGUGGGGGGCGCCAUGGGGAGCGAGGGCGGAAGCUGGCAAGAGCGCAGGGAUGCGAGAUGCGGAAAAGGAUGGAGGCAAAAGGGCAAAGUGUUGCUCCCCGUUGCCAACAGUGGAAGCUUUAUGACGCCCGGUCGUUUGGUAACGGCUGGUUCCGUACCCUACGGGUGCGCGGGGAUAACUCCUAAUCACUGGGAGUAAUGCGCGGAGUGGCCUUAACUACCCUAUUUAGGGGGGGGGAGUUAGGGCGGAAAUCUCGCGCCCAGUACUCCGCUUUUGGCGGCGCCGUACACGGGGCAGCGAAGGGAUGCGGGCCCGCAACUGAUCGGGGGCCCACACGUUGGUUAAGGGCGUAGCCCGGCAACCGACUAGGAAGAGACCCUUCCGGGAACAGGUGAUGCCGGCCCACGCCCGGGGGCUACUGUCGCACCAGUGGCACCAGGGGUUCCACCGUUGCGCGACGCGUGGCCCCCUCCCCCGGGUUCCCGGGAAGGUCUCAUCCCGGGGAGCGCCGACGAGCUUCCCGGCAAGCUACCAGCCCGAAAGGGGCUCGCGGGGCUUCUGGGAAUAUUCCCGCUUAGGCACCUCUCGGGAAGCUGCUUCCUGGGAGGAGGUUCCCGGGUGCGCUGGGCCCCGGUGCUUCCCGGGUCGACUUGCGGGGACUGGGGGUUCCCGGACGCGUGCCCCCCGCCUCGGGUCGUGGGGCCCACCGGACAGCGCCUCACGGGCGCGUGACGGGCGCGGAACGCGCGGUCCCACCAAGGCAAGGAAUGAGGCGCGCGGCUCAGUAAACGAGCCGACCGACGGGUAGUUACCCGUCCGAUCCAAGGAACAGUGGUUGUCCAAUCCUACCCUAGGGUCUUAGGCCCCUAGCAGCGGAGGUGGCACUCAUGCAUGCCACCAGCUCACCAGGAAGAGUUGCGUGCCUCCCCGUUGGACACUUGUAGCCCAUGCACCGUGGCACAUGUGGCAUCCCCUUGUGUAUAAAAGGAGGACCCAUGCCAGCGGUCAAGGGGGUUAGAGGGUUGACGGGUCAGACAGUUGGGAGGAUAGUGAGUUGAUCAGUUGGUUCCGGUAGACAGCAAGUAGAGAAUAGCAAGGAGUACUUAGACAUUGAGAGGAAGCCCGGGAAUUGGCCCGGCGAGAACUUGUAAGUGCUUGAUCCUCAAUCAAUAUCAGUUCAGACAGGCAAGACGUAGGGUUUUACGCCUCCGGGUGGCCCGAACCUGGGUAAAAAACGGGUGUGCCUUUGUUCUGGUACUAGCGCGCCCUCUUGGCACUGGGUCUCACCGGCCCCAUAGGGCCCCAUCGACCGUGCCGGCGAUAACCGGGUCUCCGCCCCAGACGCCCCUACCGAACCUAAAAGGGGGACGUGGCUGCACGCCCUCGGUGUCUGAGCACGCGGAAUUGAUCGCCCACUAUUUGAAAGGGGAGGCUCUCCCGGAGGAUGACGUCACCGUGGAGCGCGUAGCGUGGCAAGCCAAGAUGUACACUGUGAUAGACGGCAGCAUCUACCGCAGGCGUGCGAAUGGUGUCAAACUCAUCUGCGUGCCGCCGGAAGAAGGGUGCGCACUAUUGGAGGACAUACAUCGAGGCACGUGUUCACAUGGCACGGCGGGCUCGACUCGGCCUCUAAAGCUGGGUGGUGGCAGGUCGAGGAACGCACACGGUUCCGCCAAAGGGGCACUGAACAACUGCUCGUCAUCUGUGGAGGACUAGUAGACGCGGUUGAAUGGCGGUACGUUGCCAAUAGGUGUUGGGCUUCCCAUCUAUUUGAUCAUGUCACUGAUACUCCCUUACCUUUCUUCUUGUUUUCUAUAGAUGGGAAGCCCAGCACCUUUUGGCAACGUACCGCCGUUUACCCGAGUCUACUACCCCUCCACGAACAACGACUAGUUGUUCAGUGCCCCUUUGGCGGCUCUGUGUGCGUCUCUUGACCUGCCACCACCCAGGUUCAGAGGCCGAGUCGAGCCCACCGUGCCAGAAGGAUGGCAACCACGGUGGGAGAUUGAGGUGAAGAUCCGCGGGCGUGAGAUCGCACCUGCUACAAAGGAUAUCACCUUCAUCGCCCGCUACCCCACCUUCGAGCAAGGCCUUCAGUUCACCAUGCAGUGCACCUUCGCGCAGGUGUGCCGGGACUAUCGGCAUGAGUUUCCCGAGUACUCCCCCUUCCGUCUCUUUGGAAGGCGGAACCACACGUGCCAGGCCAUGCCAACAGCCGACGACCAGGUGUCUGAGGUGGCCGCCCAGUUUGAGAGCAUGGAGAAGAACACCGAGGAUCUGGAGACCUGCCUUGGUGAGGAGAUGACCAGGACUGACGAUGCUGAAAAGCUAGUCGGUCAUUUGCUGGAGGAGAAGACCCAAUGGCAGGAGGAUAAGGCAUUGCUGCAGAACAUUAUCCUCAACAUGGGAGACGCCAUUGACCAGCUAAAGUACAAGAGAGACCUGGCUCGCUACUACUGCGAGCAGUUCAAGGCCUUCAUUGAGGCAGCAGCCACAGCCGCCGCCGAGCCAGCACGAACUGCCACACCGGCACCAGACCAGGCCCCACCGCCACUGCAAGAUCAAGAGGUGGUACCUCAGGAGGGAGUGCCGACUGAGGAGGAGGAGCCCCGGGAGGUCCACGAGAUGGGCACCCCUGCCGCCAACACCCGCUCCAAGAGGAAGAGGGUGAAUGGAGCCAUGACAUCAGCCACACAUCCCUAGUCUCGAUGCCCCCCAGUCUUUAUCAGUUAUCUAUCGUUAUCAGUAUUGCGAGUUAGUCAUUGACCAUACAAUCUAUGUGUAUGGCAAUGUAGAUCGAUUGCAUUUCUCUCGUACUCUUUUCUUAUGGUAGUGUCCCAUCAUGAACAAGAGUGAUUUGCUAUAUUUCCCAAAACCUUUUUAUGAUUGAUUGAGUGUAUGAUUGAUAUAUGCUUGAGUCAAUAUCUUGUUUUGGGGGCUUAGACAUCCUUAGCUCUAUUCUGUCUAUUAUUCCUCAUCUAUGCUACCCUAAACAGAUGCCUCCAAGACGACAGAACCCUGCAAACAACGCCGAGGCUAACAACGCCGAAGCAGAAGGGAAUGCUGCAACCAUGCAGCAACUGUUGGCCGCCCAGAUCCAAUUCUUCCAGCUGAUCACUCAGCAACUGGCCAACAACAACGCCAACCACCAGCAGAACCCCAACAACAACCAGCAACACCACCCUCCACAAGUGGAUAUGCUGACCAGGUUCCUGCGUUUACGCCCACCCACCUUCUCUAGCUCACCAGAGCCAAUCGUGGCAGACGACUGGCUCCGCUCAGUUAACAAGAAUUUGGUGACAAUCAAUUGCACCGAGGAAGAGAAGGUGAGAUUUGCAGCUCACCUAUUGGAAGGACCAGCUGCAUCCUAGGGGGAGAACUACCAGAUCACCACCCCCAUCGAGCAUGUCACCUGGGACAUGUUCCAAGAAGCCUUCCGCACCGCCCACAUCUCAGCGGGGUGCUUAAUUUGAAGAAGAAGGAAUUCCUGCGGCUCAGACAAGGAAGCCGCACUGUGGUCGAGUUCAUCGACCAGUUCAAUAGCCUCACUCGCUAUGCGCCGGACGAGGUGAACACGGACGCUAAGCGCCGAGAGAGAUUCUUGGACGUGCUGAACGAUGAACUCUCCGUUCAGUUGGCUGUUGCUUACACUCCUACCUACCAAUCGCUCAUUGACAAGGCGAUUGUGUUAGAAAACAAGCUUCACCAGAUGGAGAACCGCAAGAGGAGACUCCACCAAGGAGGAUCUCACGCGGGGCCACAACAGAAGCCGUGCAUCACCCAGGACGGCAGUGGUAGUUCGUCUGUGCACAGGGCUGGGGGCCACAACGACAGACGCAGUGGAGGGUAUGACCAUCAGAACCGCCAUACCGGGAACAACAGCAGCAGCAAGCACCAGCAGCACCAGCACCAGUAGCAGAAUUAGUAGCACCAGCAGCGCUCGAGGCUCCACAACGGGAAUGGUAACCACAAUGGAAGUGGAAACCUAAAUGGCAAUGGAAAGGGCCACACCAACGGCAAUGGAGCCGGACAGAACUGCAACCCUGGCAGGGACAUGAGCCAGGUGGAGUGCUACAAGUGCCACAAGAUGGGGCACUACUCCAACGACUGCCCAGAAAGGAUGACAGGGAAUGUGGUUAAACCAAACCCAUUCCAGAAGGGCAACGUGAACCACAUCGACGUUGAAGAGAUCACCGAGGAGCAAGGUAUAGUCAUCGGUACCUUUAGCGUUAAUUCAUUUAAAGCUUUAGUACUGUCUGAUACCGGUGCAUCUCAUUCAUUCAUCUCAAGAGGAUUUGUGCAUCAAAAUGGAUUACCUAUUAGCACACUAGCAAACCCAAUGAAAGUGAAUUCACUAGGGGGAGAACUGAUAGCCGCCUAUGACUGCCGUGGGCUAAGUUUGGAAAUAGGGAAACACACCUUCCCCACGGACCUAAUAAUAAUAGGGUCCAAGGGUUUGGAUUUCAUCCUAGGAAUGGAUUGGCUAGCCAAGUAUGAGGGACUCAUCGAUUGUGUCAGAAGAACCAUCACCCUCACCACCCCAGAGAAUAAGAGAAUCCGUUUCAAGUCUGCUUUUGAACUUAAGAGACCUAAGGUCAAUUCUCUUAAGGGGGUUAGCCUGGACGAGGUUCCAGCAGUGAAAGAGUAUCCGGAUGUCUUUCCGAAGGAAUUGCCAGGUAUGCCACCAGACCGGGAUGUCGAGUUUCUCAUUGAAUUGAUGCCUGGAAGUGGACCCAUAGCCAAGAGACCUUAUAAGAUGGCUGUGGAUGAAUUGAAGGAAUUGAAGAAGCAGCUAGCUGAACAGUUAGCGAAAGGUUUCAUUCGCCCCAGCUCAUCACCCUAGGGAGCACCCGUCCUGUUUGUAGAAAAGAAGGACAAAAGCCAACGGAUGUGUAUCGACUAUCGUUCACUAAAUGAGGUGACGAUAAAGAAUAAGUAUCCUUUGCCCAUCAUCAAUGAUCUUUUCGACCAGUUGGAAGGAGCCUGUGUGUUCUCAAAGAUCGAUCUACGAUCAGCGUAUUUUCAGCUGAAUAUACCCAAGACGGCAUUCACCACCCGGUAUGGACUAUACGAGUAUACCGUGAUGCCAUUCGGUUUGACCAAUGCACCAGCAUACUUUAUGAACAUGAUGAACAAGGUGUUCAUGGAAUUCUUGGACAAGUUUGUCGUGGUAUUCGUCGAUGAUAUCUUAAUCUAUUCCAAGAGGAAAGAAGAGCAUGAGCAGCAUCUGCGCAUGAUUUUGGAGAAGCUGAGAGCGCACAAGUUGUACGCCAAAUUCAGCAAGUGCGACUUUUGGUUGUCAGAAGUCAGUUUCCUUGGACACAUUAUGUCAGGAGCCGGAGUAGCUGUAGACCCGGCUAAGGUGACCGCUGUUAUAGAAUGGGAGUCACCCAAGAACGUUGGAGAUAUCCGCAGUUUCCUAGGACUCGCUGGAUAUUAUCGGAGAUUCAUUGAGAACUUCUCCAAGAUUGCUAAACCCAUGACCGAACUAUUAAAGAAAGAGAAGAAGUUCGCCUGGAACGAGAAAUGUGAAGAGAGUUUCCACGAGUUAAAGAAGAGAUUGGUGUCCGCACCUAUUCUUGUGCUACCAAACCUGCAAGAAGACUUUCAAAUUUAUUGCGACGCGUCACGUCAAGGUUUGGGAGGAGUGUUGAUGUAGGGAGGAAGAGUUGUAGCUUACGCUUCGCGGCAACUAAAGAGCCCCGAAGGCAACUACCCCACGCAUGAUUUGGAGUUAGCAUCAGUAGUGCACGCCUUGAAGACUUGGAGACACUACCUGAUGGGGAAACAUUGUGAGUUGUUCACAGAUCACAAGAGCCUGAAGUAUAUAUUCACCCCGAAGGAGUUGAAUCUGAGACAACGGAGAUGGUUGGAACUGAUAAAGGAUUAUGACCUGAGUCUACAAUAUCAUCCUGGCAAGGCUAAUGUCGUAGCCGAUGCAUUGAGCCGCAAGGGCUAUGUAAAUGGACUGACAGCUGGAGAGUUACCGCCAGAGUUGUGCAAACAAUUCAAGGACCUGAGACUUGAGAUUGUGCCCGAAGGACAUCUGGCCACAUUGGAAGUACAACCCACUUUGCUGGACAGGAUCAGAAAAGCACAGAAGGGCGACUCGGAAAUAAACGAGAUAAAAGAGAAUAUGUUGCCGAGAAAGCUAAGGAAUUUUGUGAGGAUGACCACGGAACCAUAUGGUUCGGUAAAUGCAUUUGUGUACCGCAGGAUCCGGAAAUCAGAAAUCUGAUUUUACAAGAAGCCCAUGACUCACCGUACUCAAUCCACCCUGGGAACACGAAAAUGUACAUGGACCUAAACGAAACGUUUUGGUGGUCCGGAUUAAAGCGAGACAUCGCAGAAUUCAUUGCGCUGUGCGAUGUGUGCAGCAGAGUUAAGGCAAAACACCAGAAACCAGCAGGAUUGCUAAGACCACUGCCAAUACCGGACUGGAAAUGGGAUAAAGUAGGCCUGGAUUUUAUCACCGGUUUACCAGUGGAGUUCGUGGCGCCGGCGGCGGUUGGAGUUGGGCCGGAGGUAGGGGAUGACAGGUGGGGCCCACCUGUAAGUGAAAGAGAAAGGAGAGAAAAGAGAGAAGGAAUGGGGGCCGUUGGAUGGGAAAUGAAGGGCUAGGAUUAGAAGAUACCCCUUCGGGGUUUUAAAUGAAAGCGUAUUUCACUGAGAAUACGCUUUCCCGUGGGGAAAGCGUACUUUCAGAGAAAAAAGAAAAGAAUAAAAGAAAAAGAGUAUAAAAUACUUUUCAGGAUCUAUAAUUCACCCGAAAAUUCAUUUCAAUCAUUUAAAAUAUCAACUAGCUUCCGAAAAAUUCCCAAAAAUUCUGUAAAAUAAUAUAUUUCAUCUAGAGUCCAGGAAAAUUAUUCCCACUCAAAAAUAAAAUAACUAAAAUAGUUUUAAUGCCUUUAAGCUUCAAAUAAAUCCAAAUAAAAUCCUAGAAUGCAUUUUUAAAUUCUAGAAAAUUCUCAAAUAAAUUUCUAACAACCUAACACAUUCGAAAGCACCAUUUAAAACACUUUCAAUAAGGCAUCAUAAUGAAACUCCAAAAUUUUAAGAUAUGAUCAAGGUGAUAUGCAUGAGAAAUGAAAAGGUGAGAACAUCUGAAUCUGAAAAUUUGGGAUGUUACAAAGCUGGUCUUUUCCUCGUCUUUCUUGGCCAGGUGGACUUGGUGAUAUCCUGAAUAUGCGUCCAAGAAGCUCAACCUUUCGCAUCCUGCCGUGGAGUCCACCCGUUGGUCGAUUCGAGGGAGCGGGUAGUCAACCUUGGGGCACGCCUUGGUCAAGUCGGUGAAGUCGACACACAUUCGCCACUUGCCGUUUGUAACAUCCCAAUUUUCAAAAAUCUUCAUAUGCAUUGCAUAUCAUAAGCAUCAUGACACCUUUGCAUUUGAUCACUUUCAAAACCCUAAAAUUUGCCUAGAAAACCCUUUUGCAAAAAUGCUUUUAUUUGAAUUUGGGCUUUGAUCCGGCUUUUGAGUAUUUGCAUUUUAACCCAUGAGGGUACUGGUUUAAAAAGGGAUUUAAUGCAUAUAUAAAGCUAUCCCAUAAGUUGACUUUUGAAAUUAUUUCAAAAAAUAAUUUAUUUUGAUAGCCUAAAGGCCCUAUAAGCCAUUCUAUAGCCAAAUGUAUUUUUUAAAUAUUUUAUUUUGAGAAAAUUCUUGUUCCAAAAGUUAUAUCAGAUGAAAAUAUAAUUUUACAAAUUUUGUUGCAAUUUAUUUGGAGUGAUUUGGAGCUCCGAAUCAAUUUUGAGGUUCAAAAACAGAAAAUAGGAAAAAAGAAAAGAAAAACCGGACCGAACCGGACGAACCGGACCGGACCGAUCGACUCAGCCAGGCGAGCCGCCCGCGGCCACUGCCAGGCGGGCAUCACUCCCCCUUUCUUCUCCAACUGCCUCCGCAGUCCCUGCCGCGCACGUCCGCGAAACCACCGCAUGCCUCCACCCCGAAGCACUCGCGCUUCUCCUCCAAUUCGCCCAAACCGCUCGCCCAAUUUCGCACUGGUUAGAAUUUAAUUGCUUGCCGGAGCUGCUCUCUGCCGUCGCCGUUCUUCGCGUUUCGCCGUCGUUCCGGUGAGUCUCUGCUCGUGCCGACCCCCUAUUCCUCUUCCUCUCUUCUUUGCGCACGCAGUGAUGCGAGCCAUCCUCGAUUUGGAGUUCCGCCGUCUCCGCGCCGCGCUCCGCCGUCCGCCGUCCCCGCGCUGAGCUGCUCCGCGCCGUCCUGCACUGUGCCCCGAGCCGCCGUGCGCCGCCUGCGCCCCUCCGCCCCGCGCACCUGCGCGCCGCCGCCCUGCCCACCCCGCGCCUUCGCCCGCGAACCGCGUCGCCGCCCCCCGCCGUGCCGCCGCCCAGGGGAAACCCUAGGUUCCAGCCAAUGCCGCGCUGCCACGUGGCAUUUAUUUUAUGUUUAGUUUUAUUUUUUUCGGCCGAAAUACAUAAUGCACUUUUGCAGAAAAGACCCUACGAACUCAAAACAUCAUAUCUUUCAAACCGUUUGUCCAAAAAUUGUGUUCCGCACCUUUCUGGAAUCGUCACAACUUGUAGAAUAUUUUGGCACUGUCUAAUUUCAGUUUUGAACAACUUAGUCAGAAGCAUUUUACAGAAUGGUUGAUUAUGGUUUAAAUUUCAAAUGAAUUGUUUCAAAAUAGUUUUGAGCAUGUUAGCUUGGUAUAAAAUUAUUUAAACUUGUUCUCUGUCCGACCAGAAGAGAAAUUAUUUUGUGAAUAAUAAUGGCAUACAAGUUUAAAUCUUGUUCUAUGUUGCAAAAACCACUCAACCUUUUAAUUUAAACCCUAUGCUUGUUUCAUGCAUAUUAAUUACCUCCUUGUUGUUGCGUAAAUUGCCCAAACCUUUUGAAAAACUUUUCAAAACAGAAACAAAACUUGUUACAUUAAAAGUAACCAAGUGUGCAUUAACAUAGCAUAUGCAUCAUGGCAUGAUUUUUGCAUUGAAUGUUGUGUUUAUUGUGUGCAUGUUUCUUUUAUUUUAGAUUGUGUGGAGUGUUUUCCUUGUUGUUGCGAAGAGUGCGAGAACUAUCACAACCUUGGACAAGGCAAGUUCACUUUGAUCAUAUCCCAUUAUUAUUGUUGUUUUAAAAUACUUAUGCAUUAGUGUUGUUGCUAGAGAUGCAUUGAUAGGACUAUUACUCGUACCUCUAUGCUAGCUAUAAAUCCCAGGUAGUAUAGUUUACCCUCGCCAUUACCUUGCUACCAAAUUGCCAUCGAUUGUAGUUGAAUGCUAAGCUAUGGUAGUAUCGUGGAGAAAUAACUACAUUAUGAUAUUCUUAUGCCAUUGGCUAUAUGAAAUGUUUUUGUUAGAUGUAACGCAAAACAACUAAUUCAAUGAACCAUCCUGGAUGGGCUGCUUUGAGGAUUUUGAGGAUAGCGGCGUCAGGUCCAUUUCUAUGAGUCCCUCUGAGUCGAGCUCCUGUGGAUUAAAGAAUGGAUCGUCCAUGGACGUCUCUUCCGUGGAUUCGGGGAGCGCCUACAUUGCAAAUGUGGAAUGCCACCUGGGGUAACCGAGACUGGACUAGUUUCCUAUUUAGCAGCUUCCAGUACAACCACAAUGCUAUAUGGGCUCUGGCGAGACAAGAGUAAGUUGUAUGAACCUAGACCCGAGGAAUUGUACUGAGGUAGCCGUGUAGGGGGAGCGAGAUUCUCUCGUGGUUUAGGGAAUUGCCUCUGAAAAUCUCGUAAUCGAUGCCGUUGCUACUCUACCCUGAGGACAGCAAGGGAUUAACACGUCGGUUUCUUGUGGGGAAUGUGUACAAACUCUCGAGAGCGUCAAAACUAAGUACUUAGCCGUGUCCCCGGCAACGGACAAUUUGAGCAACUAGAUGUGGAGCUGUAAGGAAAGUCUCACUCAUUCCAAUUUCUUAAAUAAAAUGAAUGGUUUGAACAGGGUAGGAGCACUUGAUGAAUCCACUUCAAUGUGCUCUAGGUUAAUAGGAGCAUGGGUGUGUCUACCUCGUGUCCAAUACUUAACAUUAUUAUAACAUUCCUUUGUAGUAGGGUAAUUUAUGUUCUGCUUCCACGCAAAUAGCCUUGAACCCCACCUUGCCACAUUAUGCAUAUACUUGUUAGGUUCUGAUAUAACUCCUGGUGAAUCUUGCCAAUACAUUCAGUGUAUUGACCCUAGUGGCUGCAUCGUUUAAUGAUGCAAGAAGCUCCGACGACGAGUAAGAUGUACGUUCUGCUUGUUUGGGUUACGGGCCUACAUUCCAACACGCUCUCACCGUGGUGUUGAUGUGCCCUUGUAUCUUUCGCUUUCCGCUGCUAAACAGUUGUUUUAUUUCCAGCUAACCCGUGAGGUUUUGCAAGUUGUAAGUACUUUUAAACUCUGGAUGAUUCGUUGUAAUAUUGAGACCUUCGUUCUAUGAUAUUACAUCUUGAAACUGUGUGUGCUAGUGAGUCGAUCCAAGGACUAGCACUAAAGCACAAAGAUUGAACCCGUGUACGGGGGCAGUCGCUUCACCGUUGGCUUUCUACACCAAGACCGGAUUGGCUAGCCAUUCGGGGUUCCAAACUUCUCGGAUGAGCCUGGCGUCAAAGAGUUUGGCGAUUUCUUGCUUCAUGACUUCGCUUCGCUCCCUGGAGAGCUUUCAAAGUUUCUGCUUCUUGAGAGAUUUGUCGGGCCUUACGGCGAGGCGAUGCUCCAUGACGUCAUGCGGGACUCCUCCCACAUCAGAAGGUGACCAAGUGAAGAGGUCGAAAUUCUUCCGGGGCAGGUUGCUGAGUUCUUCCUCGAGUUUGCUUGGAAGGUCACCUCCAAUCCUCACGGUGCGCGUGACGUCAUCUUUGGAGACGAUUAUUUCGUUGAGUUCUCCCUCGGGGAGUGGCUUAGGGAUGUAGCGCUCCCGGUGAUCGGUCUCAGAUGCUCCUGCGUUCGAAAGAAUGUUGACACUCUUGGAUGAUUCUCCCUUCUUCUCGGCGCACUUGGUCUCGUGGAGGUAGAGCGUCUUCCUAUCGGAGGAUUGCUCGCCGCAGACCGUUAUCACGCCCUUUGGGCCCGGGAUCUUCAUGCACAAGAAGUUGUGGUGGAUGGCGGCGCAGAGACGAUUCAACGUCGUCCUUCCAAGGAUGGCGUUAAAGGAGGCCUCCAUAUCCACCACGUCGAAGCGCACGAGCUCAGUUCGAUGAUUCGUGGCGUCUCCAAAGGUUGUGAGUAGAUCAAUUUGUCUGAGCGGCUGAAUGGACUUCCCGGGCAUGAAGCUGGUGAGAGGAUAAAGGGAUGGCUGCAAUGAGCUGUUCUUAUAUCCCCCUUGCAGUUCCAUCAGCUUCUUCGACGUGCUCAGAUAUAGGAUGUCGGCGGAGCUUCCGCCGUCCGCAAGAAUCUUCUUGAGCUCACAAUUGGCGACGAUCGCCGUCAUGAAGAGGGCAUCGUCGUGUGGGAAGCGUAUCCCCUUGGCGCCUUCCUCGGUGAAGGCAAUCGGCACGCUCACCCACUUUGGUGGUAGUGUCGGGGAGAAGGCUCCCACGACGUUGACUUCGCAAGCAUACUCCUUGCGUUGCCGCUUCGAUCCCCGUCCUGUGGCGGAGCUCUCGAGUAUCACUUCUGUGAGACUCCGGGACCGAAUUUAUGCAAUUUAGCCCCAAAUGCUAACUCGCGCAUAAAUUAAGCCCCAGUGCCUCUCUACGAUGAACACUUCACAACAUACACGCAGAGUGUUCACCGCAGGUUGGAACAAAAAUGAUAUCAUUACAUCACUCUAAGACACAAGAUUAAGUCAAGCUCAUACAAGGAGCGAAAUACCAAGUUAUUACAACUCACGAACACAUGUCCACAAUCAUCAUUACACCAGCGAAGCAAAUUAGGCCCGAGUACGGACAAGUUUACAAUUAUUGCCUAAGAGGCUGAAAUUGAAAGGAGAGCCCGCCACAAGUUCACAGAAACCUGCUCUGGAAUCUGCUGGCUAAACGUCGAAGCUAUCGUCGUCGAACUCCACGAAGUAACCACUCACCUGCUCCUCUGGAAACUCUGGAGAAAACAACGUUGCAAAGCAACUGAGUACAAAGUACUCGCAAGACUUACAGGAGAUCUAAACUAGAUAUGCCACAAGUCUCAAAGGAUGGAUAAUAUGGUGGGGUUAUGCAGCAGCAAUAUAUCUGGAGAGACUCACUAACGACAUCGUCUAAGUAGAGGAUGAGAAGCGUCUACUAAGUGAGGUGAUCUUCUAAUAACUAACAGCAACAAAACACAACCUCUUAUCACCCCCUCAACCCCUUGUGAGGAAAUGAUCCAAAGGCACGCACACUUAAGCAGUUUUAAGCAUAUCCAUGAUUAAGGCUAAUUACUACUCAAGUUUAUGAGAUUAAGUUGAUUAAAAUGAUUAAGUUCUCUAUGAUCAAGUAAUGACCAACCACGUCGUCCAUAACCGCGGACACGGCUUUCCGAAAGAUUUAUCCCUGCAGGGUGUGCCAAUUUACCCGUACACGUUCGUCCAACCCUUAUUGCCACUCGAGUAGGAACACACAAAGGCGUGUGUCGGCAGGAUUGGGCGACACGACGUUUCCAAGCCCCACAACUAAUCCAAGGGACCAACCCAACUGAGUCUAUCCGAAACGAGAGCCCGGCCGAACUUUCGUACGGACUCAAGUGUUGCGUGGACAGCUGGUAGCGGUUCAGAACCCGCAGGAUGACCACUCUAGACUAGUGCCGCAAGCCCUAUAUGUAUGCAAAGUACCAACAAAUCUCCAAACACAACACCAAGGUAUAUGCGAUAUGCCAAAUGGAACGCCCAAACUAUGUGGCCGAGGGGAAAGCCAUAUCUUCCCCACGAGCGGUUAGCGCGAAGUUUCUUGGGUCGGCGAAAACGAGAUCUCAGUCCUUAGGUCGGCGCAAACGGAACAAAACACCAAUGUGUUAGCACGGCCUCCCAUCGUUGCCUUGUGCAGGUAAAAUAACAUGUCACAGUUUAAUAAUUGCAAUUAAAUACAGAAAGUACAUGUGGAUGUAGCAAUUGUAUAACCCCAAGUAAGGACACUAGACCAGCAAGCUAAGCAAAACUUCUAAUAACCAACUAGGGCAAUAACAAACAUGUGACAUGGUAGUAGGAUAAGGAACCAGACAACAGGCAUUUGAAUAGAGCUGACUAAAGCUAUGCAACAUGUGACAUGAUUGCAAGUGUAUAUGAAUAUGCAUGUAUCUCAAUAUGCAAAUUUAGAGUGGUAUGAAAUGCAUAGAACAAUCCUAUGGUCUCUUUUGGUCUAAUCCAUGUUAGGGUCACGUUACUACAAGCAACACAUUGCUCUGAUACCAUCUGAACCGACCGCCCCCGUACACGGGUUUGAUCUAUGUGCUUUAGUGCUAGUCCCUGGAUCGACUCACUAGCACACACAGUUUCAAGAUGUAAUAUCAUAGAACAAAGGUCUCAAUAUUACAACGAAUCAUCCAGAAUUUAAAAGGUACUUACAACUCGCAUAACCUCACGGGUUAGCUAGAAAUAAAACAACUGUUUAGCAGCGGAAAGUGAAAGAUACAAGGGCACAUCAACACCACGGUGAGAGCGUGUUGGAAUGUAGGCCCGUAACCCAAACAAGCAGAACGUACAUCUUACUCGUCGUCGGAGCUUCCUGCGUCAUUAAACGAUGCAGCCACUAGGGUCAAUACAUUGAAUGUAUUGGCAAGAUUCACUAGGAGUUAUAUCACACCCUACCAAGUAUAUGUAUAAUGUAGCAAAGUGGGGUUCAAGGCUAUUUGCAUAAAAGCUUAGUUAUUGAAUCCUAACUUUUAAUCAAAUAGAAUUUUAUCACUAUUGGACACGGGAUAGACACACCCAUGCUCCUAUUAACCUAGAGCACAUUGAAGCGGAUUCAUCAAGUGCUCCUACCCUGUUCGACCAUUCAUUUUAUUUAUGAAAUUGGAAUGAGUGAGACUUUCCUUACAGCUCCACAUCUAGUUGCUCAAAUUGUCCGUUGUCGGGGACACGGCUAAGUACUUAAUUUUGACGCUCUCGAGAGUUUGUACACAUUCCCCACAAGAAACCGACGUGUUAAUCCCUUGCUGUCCUCAGGGUAGAGUAGCAACGGCAUCGAUUACGAGAUUUUUAGAGGUAAUUCCCUAAACCACGAAAGAAUCACGCUCCCCCUACACGGCUACCUCAGUACAAUUCCUCGGGUCUAGGUUCAUACAACUUACUCUUGUCUCGCCAGAGCCCAUAUAGCAUUGUGGUUGUACCGGAAGCUACUAAAUAGGAAACUAGUCCAGUCUCGGUUACCCCAGGUGGCAUUCCACAUUUGCAACGUAGGCGCUCCCCAAAUCCACGGGAGAGACGUCCAUGGACGAUCCAUUCCUGAAUCCACAGGAACUCGACUCAGAUGGACCCAUAGAAAUGGACCUGACGCCGCUAAUCCUCAAAAUCUUCAAAGCAGCCCACCUAGGACGGUUCAUUUAAUUAAUUGUUUUGCCUUACAUCUAAUAAAACAUUUCAUAUCGCCAAAGGCAUAUAACAAUAUCAUAAUGUAGUUAUUUCCCCACGAUACUACCAUAGCCUAGCAUUCAACUACAAUCGAUGGCAAUUUUGGUAGCAAGGUAAUGGCGAGGGUAAACUAUACUACCUGGGAUUUAUAGCUAGCAUAGAAGUACGAGUAAUAUUCCUGAUGCAUCUAAUAAAAUAUCUAGUGCAUAAUAAAAUAUUUGGGAGAUUGAUCAAAGUGAACUUGCCUUGUCCAAGGUUGUGGUAGUUCUCGCACGCUUCAGAACAACAAGGAAUACACUCCACACAAUCUAAAAUAAAAGAAACACACACAAUAAACACAACAUUCAAUACAAAUAUCAUGCCAUGAUGCAUAUGCCAUGAUGAUGCACACAAAGGUUACUUCUAACGUAAAAAGUUUCAUUUCUGUUUUGAAAAGUUUUUCAAAAGAUUUGGACAGAUGAUACAACAUCAAAGAGGUAAUUAAUAUGCAUGAAACAAGGAUAAGGUUUAAAUUACAAGAUUGUGUGGUUUUUGCAACAUAGAACAAGAUUUAAACUUGUAUGCCAUCAUUAUUCACAAAAUAAUUUCUCUUCUGGUCCUAAUGGACAGGGAACAAGUCUAAAUAAUUUGACUGCAAGAUAACAUGCUCAAAACUAUUUUGAAACAAUUCAUUUGAAAUUUAAACCAUAAACCACUAUUCUGUAAAUUGCUUCUGACUGAGUUGUUCAAAACUGAAAUUAGACAGUGCCAAAAUAUUCUAUAAGCUGUGACGAUUCCAGAAAGGUGCGGAACACAAUUUUUGGACAAACGGUUUGAAAGAUACGAUGUUUUGAAGUUGUAGGAGGCUUUCUGCAAAAUUGCGUUAUCUAAUUCGGCGGAAAUAAAAUAAAAUAAAACUCUGCCACGUGGCAGAAUCUGGUUGGCCCGGUUCUAGGGUUUCGGGCCGGCGUGCGGGUGGCCGGACGGCGGCGGCGCGGCGGAGCGACACGGGGCGGAGCGCGGGCGGGCGGCAGCAGGCGGCGCGGGCGCGGGACGGCGCGCACGGGCGAGGGGCAGCUCGGCCGAAGGCGGAGCGGCGCGCGGGCAGCGAACGGCGCCGGAGAAUAUGGCCGGCGAGGUGGACGGCAGGCGGCGGACGACACGGCGGGCAACCAAAAACUAAUCGGUCCGUGUCAAAAGUUGCGGGAAGAAGAGAGGAGCAAGGGAGGGUGGUCGGCGCGGGCGGAGGCUCACCAGAACGAUGGCGAAACGCGAAGAACGGCGACGACAGUGAAGAACUUGGGCGAGAAAUUAAAUCCUGGCCUAUGUAGAUAGAGCGAGCAAUUAGCCGGCGCCUGACUCAGUCACGCGCGAUAAAAUUAAUUACAUGGUCCACGAUUCCUCUGCUGCCUCUUCACCCCGUCCGCUCCACCAGCUACUCCUCACCACAAAACGAAGAUCGAUCUGUCGAGGUUCUAGAAAGUGAGCGUCGAGGUUCCUGCAAGGACGAGGUCGGUCGAUGUCAAGAUCCGCAGGAAGCAAACACCGUGAUUCAUGCAAGGCGGAGGUCAGCCCGCCGGCCGGCCGCGAGCUCCGUGGUUCGUGCAUCAGUAGGAUAUCAGACAUCUACUAGCUCCGCCGAGGUCGUGAAUGACAUCGAGUUCGACUUGUGCUCCUCUGAAUGCUGGUUUCUUUGUUUUUUUCCCUGGCCAUGAAAGGGGAUCUAUUAUGAUGUUUGUGUUCUUGCGCAUCCAGUUGCUUUUUUUUCCUUUUCUUAUUAUAAGAGUAUCAUCAAUUAAAUAGUAAGGGAAUCGAUCACAUGUUCUUGUGCGAAGCAGCAGGAGCACCAUGAAUAGAUCUUAUGUUGUUCUGAUUGUUGGAUUGUUAAGUAUCUAGAGGGGAAAGAGAGAGAUUCCGGUAAUCAAGUUUUCCCUUCAAGUUUAAGACUCUCAGUCAUAGGUAACCAACCAAACAACAACUCUACAAGGCUGCCUCGUCAGGCAAAAAUCAGUUAUUCCUCAGGCUAGUGUCAGGCACCGAAAUUUCUCAGGCAUAGCUCCAAGGCUCCCAAGGUAGCAACCAGACAGCCCCUAAAAACCGGCAUGGUUAAAUUUAGCAAGCCGAUGGCAGGGGUCUCCCAGACUCCCUCUCCACCGCGCGCUGCGCUACCUCUCUACCCCUCGAAGGAAACAACCCCCCGUCCGUCCUCGCCGUAACCGCCGAUCGAUGUGGUCAUCGUGGACCCUGCGGAAGCCAGCCUCCGGGCGUCUCACGCAGUCGCCCUCCUUCUCCUCGUCCGUAACCUCGUCGUCGGCCAAGGACCAUAAUGGCAUCGGCUCCGUCCUUGACGACGCCUCGCCCAGCACCGGCGGGGGCAAGGCCGCCGUCCUGCACCGCGUGCGGUCGUCGACCAAGCUGCGGACCUGCAAGUCGUUCGCGGCGGCCGAGGAGGCGCCGGGCGGCGAUCGCCGCGUCGUGCUCUACUUCUCCUCCCUCCGGGCCGUGCGGCCCACGUUCGAGGCUUGCCGGGACAUACGCGCCAUCCUGCGGGGGCUCCGCGUCGCCGUGGACGAGCGGGACGUGUCCAUGGACGCGGCGUUCCUCACCGAGCUCCGCGCGCUGAUGCGACGGGACCGGCCCCCGCUGCCGCAGCUCUUCGUGGGGGGCCGCCUCGUCGGGGACGCGGACGAGGUGCGCAUCCUGCACGAGACUGGCGAGCUCCGGCGCGUCGUGGCCGGGGCUCUGCAGGCGGCGCCGACGCCGUGCGCGUCGUGCGGCGGCUCGCGCUUCACUCCUUGCUGCGCCUGCGGGGGCAGCCACCGCAGGUUCAGCGACAAGACCGGGGGGUUCCGCGUCUGCACGGCGUGCAACGAGAACGGCCUCGUCCGGUGCGCCGCCUGCUUCACCGGUGGCUGACGCGCCCCGAUUAUAUCUCGCCGAGCCUAUCUCGGAGGCGACCACUUAGAAUUGCAUGCAUGCACGUGGAAAUGGAAAUGCUGGCUAUCUCAAGUUCCAAAUGUGCCUCGUUCGGUUCAAAUCCAAGAACUGUUGGUUCAUUGGACCGUCUGAUUUUGUGCCAAGAUGUUUCCGCAUUUGGUCCAAAGCUUAGCUAAUGUUCAUGAAUAGAAAGAACAUACUCCGUAUUAAUUAAAAGAAGGAUAACUGCUGAUUUAUUUCUUGCGUGUUGUUGUUCAUGGAAUUGGGUAAAAUCGUAGUGAAUUAGUAAACCGCAGAAAGUACUCGGAAUCAGUUAAAAAAAAGAAAAGUACUCGGAAAGAAAUCUGCUGGAUAUAACGAAAUGAUCUUCUUGCUGACAGCUAUACAUUGAAUGUGAAGCAGUUUUGUCUGUGGCUGAAAAUGAAAUUGUUCAGUGUUCAUGCUAUGUUGUGUACGUACACGUCACAGUUCUACAAUGGCGGGCUUACUGAAUACGACAUCUGUCUAGAAGGUAGUGCCGUGACAUUUUUCCACAUCGAGUAUGUUAAGCCUGGAGCAUCGACUUGCAUAAGUUGAAAAAGGAAAUCAAAAUUGUAUUCCCUCAGUGCGGAAAUAACUGAUUCGGAUUUGUCUACAUUCGCAUGUAUUUAUACACUAAAACUCGUCUAUAUACAUACGAAUUCGAACACAUCUGAGUCACUUAUUUCUGGACGGAGAGAGUACUUUUCAGAUAAUCUAUUCUCCUCGAGUUUAAACCCAAAUAUGGUUUGCCGGAUCAAUCAAGGACGGUAUCCUUGAUGUGCUUUUCUCAUGCAGGGCGUUUGUCAAUAACUCUCAGAGACAGGUAUCCUCAUGGGGAUGAUCGGAAGAGGAGCCCUACGGUGAAGGAGGAAGUGACCUCAAACGAUGCUCGGCGAGACAAGAGUUUUCCCAGGUUCGGCAACCUCUUCUCUUGGAGGUAGUCCUGCUAAAUUGCAUUGAUGUGUAAUAUCAAUUACAUGAGAUUGUCUACAACAUCAAGAGCACCUAGCCCGGUUUAUAUAAUCGGACGGCUAUGGUUUCUGGGUCGUGCAUAACUCAUACACGGACGCUUCUAUUCCUAAUAUGCUAGGAAUCAUUUCUUUACAAGAUUUCUACUAAACAGCUGUCUAUCAAAUCGUUGCAAUUGAUGUUCGAUCUCAGAGAAAAGGAAGAGAUCUUCAAAAAGUAGGUUUUUAUGAUCCAAUAAAGAAUCAAACUUCUUUUUCUUUUAAGAAUUCCGCCUUCUUUAAAAUAUCAUAAACAGUUCUUGUCGGUUGAGCACCUUUUCAAGGAAAUAGAGAAUAGCUGGAACAUUUAAAGAAAUUUUUUAUACUAUUAAUUUAUUUUUAUCCAUAAUGGAUUUACCCGGACCAAUACACGAGAUUCUUGUGCUACUUUUGGGAUUUGUUCUUCUACUAGGGGGUCUAAGAGUAAUAUUACUUACCAACCCCAUUUAUUCUGCCUUUUCGCUGGGAUUAGUUCUUGUUUGUAUAUCCUUAUUCUAUUUUUUAUUGAAUUCCUACUUUGUAGCUAUCGCACAACUUCUUAUUUAUGUAGGAGCCAUAAAUGUCUUGAUCAUAUUCGCUGUAAUGUUCGUAAAUGGUUCAGAAUGGUCAAAACCUAGGGGCCCGAGUUGUACACUAAGUCAUCCAUGUCUUUAGGUCGGACUGAGGUUACCCAGCUGUCGCACCAGUGGCCCCAGGGGCCCCCACUGAUGCUGGACGUGUGGGUCGCCACGUCCAGUUCCCGCAAUGGACCCGGUCAAGGGCGUUGCAGGAUGCUAGGCAAGACUCCUCCCACCAGCUCCUCGGGUACAUCUACCCAGCAACCGCCUGCUCCGGCAACCCCUCUCUCGCAGCGGUGCCUUGCCCGCGCCAGCAAGGAAGUUGUGGGAACGCUCGCACCCGGCAACUCGCCCCAUGGGGCAGCGACAUCCCAUUGGAAGACCAAGUCAAAGCAGUGGCAUUAAUUGCACUGGCAGGGCUAUAGCGGUGGAGGUAGGGCCCGUCUAGUCCCAUCAAACAGUAAGCAGAGCCACUACAUGAGCAAAAACGAGGUAGGGUUCGGCCACCUCAUUUUUUACCUCGACACGUGCAUACCCCACAUGUCAACUGGUUAGCUAGCCACUAUGGUAUCCUCUUUGGUUAUAAAAGGAGGACCAUGGCUACAUUUAGAUAGUGUUAGACUCCUGAGCGAUUAGAACUACAUAGUAAGCAAAACAACAAGCCCGGGAACGCCAGUUGAGGCCCCGACAACUCGUAAAAGCACUAAAACACUCAUAGAAAUACAAUCAGGUAGGACGUAGGCUAUUGCACUUCCGAGCGGCCCAAACAUGGGUAAAACUCGGCGUCUCACACUUCGUGUUCUUUGACCACGCCGGCAUUUUUUGGACAAUCCCCAUUGCCCACCACCGAACCAAAACGGGGGUGCUCGACAUCCCUGGUGUCCGAGUCAGGGUCUGCCACAUCUGGCAUGCCAGGUAGGGGGCGUGUGGCGUCACCAGCAGCAUCUCCAUCGGCCACGCGAUCAGCUAUGCCGCAGGAAGAAAGCUGACGAACCCAGGCUAGGCAUGCUUGACGUGCCAGCGGCGAACACCUUGUCGCACGGCGCGGCCUGGGCGUCGCAUACGAGAGGGUGGUGCUUCUUCAAACCACGACCUCCAGCAGCAGCAUGAGCUGCCACCGCUGCCACCACGCACCUCGCAAGGAGCUGACGCAAGGCGUGGUGCUGCGGCUAGCGUCGCGGCGAACACUGGUCAUGACGUCAUUGUCGCCAACGUCGUAGGCGUUGACGCUGUGGCCGCCAGCAACCGCGCCCGGAGGAAUGUCGAGCAUCAACAAGGCUCGCACCGCCCGAGUGCAUCUCGCACUCCCGCCACCGACCUUGUUGCCAAGAGGCAUGGCAUCGGGACUCGUGAGGAAGUGGGCGACGGGCCGGUUCUGCCACCGCCCGGUGCCCGCACCAGGGCUGAGACCCUAGCGGGUGCUCGUGCAAUGGUUCGUUACUAGCUGCCGCAACGAACGCCGACCCAUGAAGACUGGCACGGGGAGCUUAAUGCGCUCCUCCUAUUUGCUUGCCGCCACUUGGAGGGAGCGCGCCGCCCGUCCUGCUUCCGCACCGUGCCCAACAACGAGCAGGGGACAGGGCUGGACCAAGGACCAGGAUCCGAGGCUCAACCACGGGCCUCGGCACACCAAAGUCCACCGAUGGAUCGGCAUACAGGAGCCAGACACGGCGAUUACUCCAUCGGGUCCUCUUUAACGAGCCCGACGGUUGACGCGAGAGCCAUCCUGUAAUGAAGCAAAAAUUAAUAAAUGACUAUUUUAAGACUAAGCAUGCAUCGUGUCAUCAUAUCAUGCUUUAAUUAUUGUUGCAUCGAUUUAAAACUUGCACGGACAUUGUAAACCCUUUUUCAAACCUCUGUGAAAUAAACCUUUUGCAACCUUGUCCAUUUGACAUGAAAUUUUCUGUACAAGCUCACAAAAUUUUGGAUGGAUGAGCACCCACAAAAUUUUGCGUCAAUCGGAAUUAGUUUGCUAGCCCUUUUAAAUUUAAACCAUAUUUAAAUCUGAGAGUUUCAAACUUCCUCUAAAAUAUUUGAAACUUUUACUGAAGGUGUAUUUUCUCACUUUAAGACUACCCUCAAAGUUUCAUAAAUUUCUGGGUUAGUUUGGGCCAUCUAAUAAACUAGGUGAUGCCCCGCGCGUUGCGGCGGUACAUAAAAUAUGCAAUUUGGAUGGAUGGUCAAUAAAAAAAUUGACCAUCAUACUGAUGAAAUAAAAGGUUACAAUUCUAUAAAACAGUAUUUAAUUAAGAUAAAACCUGAUGAGCAAUUUGAGCAAAAUGGUAUAAAAAUGUUUCUAUUAGAAAAAGAAGCAUAAUCUGAGUUCUUGAGUAGUGUUAGACAUACCUGCAUAUAUUCCAUAUAAUAAGUCGUGCAACUAAACUGCACUUUUCAUUUACAUAACAGAGAGUGGAUCACUUAUAUAGUUCAGAAAUUAACGCCACCAAACAGAUCCUAUGUUUUGCUUCAAUAGUUUUAGCGGUUCUUGGUAUCACCUGCAAAAUUUGAUUAUAAAUUUUUCAGCGAGAUGACUAAAACUGUAGAGAAGAAAGACAGCUUACUAUGUUAUAUUUUAGCAAAGGAGCGAAGGAUGCCGAUUUGCUAUGCAAGGUGAUUCCGAAACAACAGGAAAAUUAAUCAUCUUUGUCCAUAUAAAUUAUAUAACCGAAAUGAUCUAGUAGCUCCAUGUAGCUCCAUAGAUCUACUACAAAUGUGGUAAAUAACAACUGCAGCAAGAGUGGUAAAUAACACAUGAGAACAAUGUGCUACAGCAUGGCAUCUUUCAGAAAAAAAAAAUCCAGUCUUAUGAAAGCUUUCAUAUCCUGCAGAUAUACUACAGGGAGGUGGCAGUUAAAACGCAGAAGAAGAACACCUUGUUGUGCACCUCGAGCAUAUAUUAUUUGAGAAUAAAAUAGCACAUAUCUAAGAUGAGUAGGGCAAUAGGUCACAACUCAUCAGAUAAUAGCACAAAUCCAAGACAAAAAGAUGGAGUAAAAUAAGAAAGUCAAUGCUCAGUACUGCAACAACGUUCAGCUUGAUUGAUGGACAAUACCUUGCCGUUUCUGCAGUACUGAAAGAAGUAAAUCCUCACUUGUAUGUUAGCUGCGACAACAAACACACUGAUGGAACAAAGCAGUACACAAUUAUAUGACUGUAUCAUUCGAAUUAAAUUUUCUACUUCACCGCACCACGAAAAAAAACUAAAACUUGAAUUAUUCUUAGCUCACACCCAACAUGAACAGGGAGCAAAAAACUUCUAGAUUUGUCUCUUACCUUUGUAUGCACUGCAACAGUUUCAUAUCUGAUUUUUGUGAAAAACUUUCACCAUUACUUACCACAAUGACCUAAAAUAAAAAUUGAUUAACACCUUGGCCAAUCUAAAAUAACCAUGAGAAGAAACAACACAGGAAAUCUUGAACUCACCACAUAUUUGCACAGCAAAACCAAGUUCGGCUAUACCUUGUACAAAUCAAAUAUUUGAAAGAGGCAAAUCAUCAAACACCUUAAGUGUGCAGAGAGAUAUGAGAACUUGGGCCAAAUCAUCAAACAACCUUCCGUAGAGGAAGGGAGAGAGUCAAAUCUCAGGAACGUCCUGGGUUGAACAUGAUUGGAAAGAGGGUGACGUGGCUGCUCGGUAUAGAAGAUUAGAUGAAUGCUGACGUGGUUAGGCUGCAUAUGCAGCUUGCUAAAUUAACUGCAUUUAGUGAGCUUCAACUUUAUAGAAUUUAUAGAUUCCACAAGUAUUAAAAUGUCUUAGUACAAGAAUAAAAGGAAAGGGAAUUUUCCUAAUUGCUUAAAAAAUGCAUAUGCACUUUUUGAACAAGACGGGCGUAGGCGUCAUCACAGUCCGUUUUCUCCUGGCGCAGCGAUCCCGUCAGAUUAGUGAUUACCGCUGGCUUUAUUUCUUACCUAUCCACAUGGGCCAAGGUGGGGCCCACUUGUUCCUGCGUUUGUUCCCUUCCUCAUUUCCUCAUUUUCCCCAGGAACUCUCUUCUGUAUCUCCAGCGAUUCUAAAGGGCGGUGUGGUUCUCGGCGGCAGAUCCAUGGAAAUGGAGGCAGGCGGCGGCUGAUACAUGGACAUGGAGGCAGGCGGCGGCUGAUCCAUGGCGAUGUAGGCUGGUGGCGGUGGAUCCGUGGUGAUGGAGGCCAGCAACAGCUUGGAAGAAGCGUAGCGGGCGGCGGCCGGGGCGCGAUUCAGCGGGCGGCGCAGCAGCAGCCUUCAGCGCUGCAGUCUGCGGAGACAAGGAAUGCGGCGUGGGUUGACGGAUAAGAGGGGGCACGGGGAAGCGAGCAUGGUCGACAGGGGGCGAGGAGCUCGAGCUCAUCGUCGAUUUCUUUCAGUGGCGUUGGGCACCCGACGGUGAUUUAGGGGUUCGGUUGGUCGGCGUGGUGGAGGGCAUUUGCAUGUCGCAAGGCGCGGUGCUGUGGGCUGAUUUGGGCGUGGCCGCUGCAUCGACGACGGUGGGGCGUAACGAGCUCGGCGGGCGCAACGAGCAUGGAGAUUUCACCCGAUUUCAUGGUUAGUACCGUCUCCAACCCGCUAUCUACGCAUCGUUGUCGAUUUGCAGCCCUAGGGUGUUCGUGACCCCGUCGAUUCCCUUGCGCUCGCAUGUUUCGCGGCCAAUUUAUCCCCGGAUUGUUAUGGGGAACUUUUGGGUGUCGAUUUUGCUCCCGCGUGGCACGGCUGCGGUGUUGCAAGCGAUUUCUAGCUGAAUUAAAACCCGUAUCAUGCCCUAUAAUUCUAGGGAAAUUUAUCUAGAUUUUUGUACCUAGGUGGGAUCGGAUUCGAUCCAGAGCGGGUAAUAUGAGCCUGGUGUUUUCACUGUUAUUUCAAUCCCUCGGAGUAUGUGCUUUUGUUGAGGGGGGGCAAAUCUUGUACCCAUUUGAGUGUUAGAAGACAGACGGAUUCUCUGAGUUGUCCCUGAGUUUUUGGGGCACAGGUUUGUUUAGAUGUGUUUGUUUCCAAACCUAGAUGUUGUUUGCUUCAUGAAUUUCCCUCCAAAAACACACACAGUUUUUGUAUGCUAUAUGAGCUAACACAGUUCAUAUUGGAGAUUUUACAUGGGGCCUUAUAAGUUGCUUGCUUAGGUGUGUGGGGGAUACAUGUGUUUAGGAGAGUAUUUUUGUUGCCCUUUUGUUGCUUGCUGUAUAUUAUGGACCUAGUAACCGGAGAUAACAACUAGCAUAUGCCUGUGCGGAUGAAACACGGGGUGGAUGGGUAUUAGCUAAACCGGAGUUGUUUUUGACUCGUCCCUGAAGUUGCUUCUGGUAAAUUCCCCGUGCUAAUCAUCGCUGACGAUUUUUGUUUAUAAAUUACAUUGUAUAUUGUACGUAGGCGCCCCAGAGGCACAUGGCAAGAGGUGAUCCCCCUGCUUUCAGUUUUUUUACUCAAUUCAAGCAUGCACUGGGUUUUCAAUAUACUCGCUCAUACUAUGCCCUAUUGUUGCCUUGUUUUAGCAUAGUUGCUUAUUUAUAUUUUUAGAUCUACCUAUUUAGUCGCUUUCUCCUUAACAAUAUACUUGACCACGCCCGAGCCUGAAGUUGAUUUUUAGUUUAGCUAAUGUAGUUUGCUUUUGAUUAUUAGUCGUUCACACACCUCCUUAUAGUUGUUUCCUUUGUUUUAGUAUAGGUGGCAAUAGGCAAAUAUAGGUGCAUGCCUGAGAAAAUAUAGUUGCUUUUUUUAUGCAACUUUGUGUCUUAGUUUACUUAUGACCUUUUCUUAAUUAGUUGCUUAUAUAUGUUUAGAUUUAUCUUUGUCGUUUUUUCCUUCUCAAUAUACUUUCUCAUACACACCCAGAAGUUGCUUUUUAAUUUAGGUAAUAUAGUUGCUUGUAAUUAUUUAGUCGCUCACGCGAUGCCUUAUAGUUGCUUCUUUGUCAUAUAGGCGGCAACAAGCAAUAUAGGGGCAAGACUCAGUAAUAUAGUUGCUUUUUUUAAUGCAACUUCGUGUUCUAGGUUGUACUUCCUAGGACCUUUUCUUUAAUUAGUUGCUUAUACAUAUGUUUAGCUUUAUCUUUGUCGUCUUUUUCUUUCUCGAUAUACAUGCAAACACACAACCCCCCCUCCCCACCACACACACAAGUUGCUUUUUAAAUUUGGUGAUGUAGGUGCUUUUAAUUUAUUUUUUUGCUCACACAAUGCGUUAUAGUUGCUUCUCUUUCUUUUUGUCAAUAUGCUUGCCUAACCACAUUGGCUAUAUGAAAUUAGGUUGUUGUUUUCCCCCCUUUUCUUGCUUUAUCCAAAUCCCUUGAUCGCAGGUUAAUUGCAUCCAUUUGCACAAAUAGAAUCAACAUGAGCAACUUUAAUUUUUCAAUGAAAACUUGCGUUCCCAACAAAACUUGCAUGUUAAAUCUGCCUAAACUAUCCUACCAACUGUUUUUCUUGAUGCUUUGUUCUGCUUUUUGAACAGGCUUUUUCAAGGGGGGGGGGCAAUUUUGUGUAUAUGCUGUGGAUAACAAGUGAACUGGCAGGAGGCAAACUACAAGGAGAUAUAAGCAUUUCCCCUACAUGAACAGGAGCUUGGCAAGCGGAUGCGACACCGGAGUGUUCUCAAGAAUCUGCUGUGUUUUUUGCUUUUCAAGUUGCUGAAUUGUGUUUGUGUUUAUCUUGGGAAAAGAACUAGGAGGGGUGCUCAAUGGGAGCAUGCAAGUAGGGGUUGCAAUGCUACAAUGCAUUGUCUAAUUUGUUGAUGAGGACAUCCCAACUAAUGAUACAACCACAGCCCCUACAGCACCUACACCUCAAGUACCGGAGAUACAUGGACCAAUUACUAGAACUCGUGCUUAUCAGGUAUUUUCGUUCCUCGGUACUUCAUUUAAUAUUAAUGAGAAUAUGCUGCUGCCUAAGAUGGGUUCUUUUAUGUGUUUUAGGAAUGAAGGACCUAACUUGGAUCUCAAGCAUCAGCGUUAGACAGCAAACCAUUGAGGUGGCAGCAAGGUGGCGGGAGUUAGCUCAAGUGUUGAUUUCAGAACAUUGAAACCGCCAUAAAGAGAUGAGAAGAAGGCCGCAUCCUUUUCAUCAAUGGGAUUUCAGCCAAGUGGAGGAUUCCCCCUCCAAUGGGUAUCUAUGGGCCAAAGAUGAGGGUUAUAACCUUGUUUUAUUGGGCCUAAGGCCAUGUAAUAGGGUCCAGCCAAUUUUUAGAUGUUUUCGUUGUGUUUUAGGAGGAUUCCUAGCCCGUUUCGGAGUCCCACAAGGGCUUGGCCGAAAACCACCUAGUUCCCCUCCUAUUUAUACCCAUGAGCCCCCCUAUGGAGCCUUGGGUUUUGAUUAGAUAAAGUUUAGCCUUUGCUACUUUCGUGUAAUCGCGUGUGUCGGUUAGACCACCUGUUUUACCGUCAUCAAGAUUCCAACUAUAUUGAGUAUUCAGAUUCGUGAACCUUCAUAUUU